UUGUUUUUUUUUUUUUUGUAAAUUUCACCGAAGUCCCCUGAGUUCAUCCGUAAAUUCCAGUACAUAUUCUUUGAACUGCCAUUACGAAGUUCACUAGUUUCACAUUCAAUAUCCGCUACGAAAGAGUGCUAAGAUGGACAAGCAAUGGAACAAUUCUUAAAAAUUUGCAGUACCAAAGAAAAUUCAGUGUUUCUCUUGAACACCGUUCACAAAAAGGAGACCAAGAUUUUCACGAGACGACAGUACAACACAAGUCACCGGACAGCUAGCCUUUCUACCCUCGAACGCACCACUUUGCCAUGCCUCCUCCAUAAUGGUCUCACGUGCACUCUGUACCGUUUGGCCAUGUGCAGCAACCCCGGAGCCGUGCGGCUAAGAACACACGAUUAAAACCUUCUUGAUGAGCUCCUGAAACACCAGACAGAGCAAGACCAUGGACAAACCACUGUCAUCAACGGGAGCAGUUGUGGUGUCUGCAUCAUUAUAUAUAUAAAAAAGAUCGCCAUGCCAAUCAGGAGAAGCAUCCGUGGGUUGCCUGUUGUUGCCUCAACGGCAACGCAGAUGCAAAUGGUCCCAUACUAAUCCCAUGCCCAUAACGAUAUAUUAGUUUGUCUGAAUAUGCAGCAGUGAUGUAACACUUUUGUAAUUUUUCUAACUGAUUAAUGCUAACCAACUUUACAGGUUCGCAAGCUUGUUUCUGAUUACUAAAUGGAAGGUGUUUAAGGUUUGCUGGCACAGAUAUAAACAAAGCUGAAUGUGAAGUGUAGAGAGCAUACCACGGAGGAGAGGCUCUUCUUCCCGACAUCAACUGGCAAUCCUUGUCCGCACCUCAGUCUCCGGCUGAGCACCAUAAGCUCCUCCAGCGUCGUCACCGCGCUCCUCGGAGGGCUCCACGGAUUGCUCAGCUGAUCCUCGUCGUUGGCCACCUCCCAGCUCUUCUCCGAAGGUGCCCGGGGAAACUGAAACUCCUGGUCCUGGGCUGAAGUAUCACCACUGGAGUGGCUGUAAUCUUCUGACUCUGAAAACGAGAACCAAGCGUCACGACGGCCGGAGGAGCCAUCAACCCAUGCUGCUGCUGCAGCACCAGAAGCGUCGUUGUUGUCUGGAAAACCAAAUGCUUCCAGAUCAAAACCAAGCGAGUAUUCCUCCUCGCUCUCGACCGCAAAAGGGUUCAGUGAGCGGGAAGAUGCUACAAAGCCACCAUGAUCAGGCAGCACGUGGAAGGGAGAUGCUUCUUGUAUAGGCUUCCCAGGCUUUUCUUCCCACUGGAAUGGCACGCUCACAACAAGCUUUGUCGGGGUCGGGGAUGGGCAUGCAGACUCUGAUGCCACUGGCUUGGAAAUGACCCAGUCCCUUUUGGGCGCGCCAGGUUUCACCUCCCAGAGAAAUGGGACUGAAAUCUGCUGCUUCACCCGUUCCCGAGGGUUGAAUUCAGGCAGUUCAAGCUCUCCAUCCAUUGUGAGGUAUUUGGUUUGGAGAUGAAAUUUGUGUUGUGUUGUUGCAGAUCUUGCCUGCCCUGCUGAUAUAUGUAGGAGAGAACUUGUGGGUUAGAUGAGCCGCUCCUGCAUCACAGUGCUCUUGUUCAACUGUUCCUUUGCUAUACCUGCAAGCUAGAAAUACAAUUGGACAGUACCAACUCCUCUUUAGCUCUGACCAUGAAGGGGGGAAAAAAAGAAGUCAUCAGAUCUCAGCAACUGCUCUUGCAUUUGCAUUUUUCCAUGGUUAGAAAGAGGGCUACAGGGCCUUAAAACCACAAGGAUGAAACCAUAAACAGGGAUUUGAUAAUUAGACCAAAAUAAUCGCUUAUUCAGCAACAAAUCUAAAUACAAUUUACAAAUGAUCUGGGCCACAGUAAAGAAUAAAAAAAGAAUGCGAUCUUCAUCUGUUGAAAAAUCAUAAACACCUUUCCUGUUACCACCUCUGCCAUGUUUUGACAGCAGAAGAUCAAGAACUAGUUCUAAUGGACUCCAAGUACUGUACCACCUCUGCCAUGCUAGGUCGGCUUGAAGGUGUGUUGGAAGUGCACACUAAACCCAACUUGAGCACCUGAACAAAUUCGGCUUCAACAAAUCCCCUCAGGCUUCGAUCAAAGCAGUCUGAUGUAGUUCCAUCCUCCAAUAUCUCCCUAACAUAAUCACGCAGAACCACUGCUGUAGCCACUCCAGGGCUGUCUACUGGUUUCCUCCCUGUCACAAUCUCAAGUAAAACCACCCCAAAGCUAAAUACAUCACUCUUAUCACUAUAUCUCAAACUCGGAGAUGCUAGCUCCGGUGCAAUAUACCCAAUGGCGGUGUGAAUUCUACUCAACUCAAUGCUUCCUAGAAUUGGCAAUAGCUUCCCCAAUCCAUAAUCAGCCAGCUUAGCUUCAUAUUUCCCAUCUAACAUAAUGUUGGAGGACUUGAUGUUGAGAUGCAGGAUCUGUGGCCGGCAGUCAUGGUGAAGGUAAGAAAGUGCUCGUGCCGCUCCAAGUGCAAUGUUAAACCUCCUUUCCCAAAACAGCUCACCUCCACCACCUCUGCUGCUGCUCUCGGAGAAAGCAUAAGGGCGGUUCCCAUGGAGAUGAUCAUACAAGCUCCCGUUGGCCAUAAAUUCGGACAGAAGCAACUGCAUUGUGGAUGACCAGUAGUAACCCUGGAAAGCAACCAAAUUGGGGUGGCUGAGGUUACCGAGCUGGCUCAUCUCAUGCUCAAACUCAUCCUGGCCUCUGACCCUCCCCAGGGUCUCCAAUUUCUUCACAGCAAUGGAUAGGCCGUUUUCAAAAGUGGCUUUGUACACCGUACCGAUUGACCCACCACCAAUGAGACAAUCUUUAUCAAGGAGUGCCUUAGUUCCGGUUUCCCAAUCUUCAUAUCUUGAAGGCAAGCUCUUGCUGAAAAGCACCAACUUUCCGAUGAUUGCAUUUGAGCCUGGUGAUGCAAUUGGGUCGCUCUCAGAAACCAGAACCUCUUCCUCUUCCUUACUGUCCUCCACAUCUCUAGUCUUGCGUGUAUAAGCCUUGAUGUUCAAGGCACAAACAAUGCAUAUCCCGAUAAGUAUGAGGGCUGCAGCAACAAUGGCAAUUAUGAUAGGCACCCCCAAUCGUUUCCGGUGCCCCUGGUCCUGCCCCCCGCAGAGAUUGUUCAAUGGAGGGCCGCAUAGUAACGAGUUGUUCAUGAAUGCAGUGAAAUCAAACUUCUGCAAGACCGGCACGAAAGGGAUCAUGCCAGACAGGUUGUUGAAGGACACAUUAAAAUGCGAAAGGUUAGAGAGGUUUCCAAGCUCUUGAGGGAUUGGCCCAGUCAGUCGAUUCUCAGAGAGGUCUAGGAGAACAAGGUUUGUGAGCUGCCCAAGUGUCACGGGAAUGCCCCCAUCAAGCUGGUUCCUGUGGAGGUCAAGCAUCUUGAGGUAAGUUAAGUUGUCGAGUGUGCCUGGGAUCGCUCCUUGAAGUUUGUUGCCAGAAAGAUUCCUGUGUUGAUUUAAUUUAGCUAGUCAGUACAUGGAAACAUUGUACCACACGCGAAUUGCAGUAAUGCAAGUAUACUGAACAAACACUUACAGCUCAAGCAAGAAUUUGCACUGGCUGAGGGACCCUGGAACCUCUCCUGUGAGAUUAAGGCCUGCGAGGUCGAGUGUGACAAGCAUCUCGAUCCCACCAAGCUCAGCUGGGAUUGAACCGGAGAUGUCGGCAUUGCCCGCGAGCCGGAGCACGGAGAGUGAGCGCAAUGUCCCAAUCACAGGUGGAACGACUCCAGCAAGAGCAUUCGCCCCCAAAUCCAAAACCCUGAGGUUGCGGCAAUUGACCACGCUCUCGGGCACCGGCCCCGUGAGCCGGUUGCCGGACGCGUCCAAGUAAGAGAAUUUGCUGCCGCAAGUUGUAAUGCUGGGAAUUUCGCCGUCGAAGUCGUUGGAGGAGACGUUGAAGUAGGUGAUGUUUACCGUGCCGAGGAGGGCAAAUGGCGCAGCUCCGGAGAAGCGGUUGCUCCCGACGUCGAAGAGGUCAAUGCUGCUGCAGGAGGCGACCUUGCCGGCUAAAUCGCCGUAGAGAGAGUUGCUUCGGACGGAGAUGUAGUUCAUCUCCGGCGGCGCGCAGACUCGGUCCGGGAACUCGCCGGAGAGGCGGUUGUAGGAGAAGUCGAACCCGGCGAGGCGCGGGCAGUUGGCAAUGCCCGGCGGGACGGGGCCGGUGAGGUCGUUGUGCGCGAGGGAGACGUAGCGGAGGCGGAGGCAUGGGUUGAAGAGUGCGGGUGGGAUCCCGCCGGCGAAGGCGUUGUAGGAGAGGUCGAGGAGGCGGAGCAAGGGGAAGGUGCCGAGGAACGGCGGGAUCUCGCCGCCCAGCGCGUUCCGGCUGAGGUUGAGCUUGCGGAGCGUGGGCGCGAGCGCGCGGAAGCUGGGCGGGACGCCGCCGGUGAGGGCGUUGCCGAAGAGCGAGAUGGACUCGAGCGCGGGGAGGCGCGCGAGGGAGGGGGAGAGCGCGCCCGCGAGGCCCGCGCCGUGGAUGCGCAGCCGCUGCACGGGGCCGGAGGCCCCGCCGCAGGUGACCCCCACGAAGUCGCAGGGGUUCCCUGACGGCGUCCACGUCUCGAGCACCCCGCGCGGGUCGGCGGUGAUGGCGGCCUUGAAGUCCAGCAGUACCCGCCGCUCGACGUCCGUGGCGGCGCCGGCCCAAUGCGGCGGCAGCAGCAGCAGGAGGACGGCCAGGAGAACCGGCGCCGCCGCCGCCGCGGCGCGGGAGGAGCGCGUCAUCGCGACAGGCCGCGCUGUGCCACCGCACGCAGCAGCCGCAGCAGCAUUAGCACCACCACGCCGCCAGCACCACCACCCCACUCGGCCGCGGUGGCCGCUGGUAGUAGUUUAAGCGGCCGUUAACUGCCAGCCACGGCGCCGAGUAAAGGAGUGAGCGAGUAGGUGGCGGUGGGUGGCGUGCGUUAUGGUGUGCGGGACGGGCGGGUACCACGCCAAGCGAGCGGCCGCCCCCGCGUGACACGCUCCCUCCCUACUGGCCUCCUCAUCUGGUUUCCAUUUCGUGUCGCGCUCGGCUGCUGCCUUGACCUUGUCACGUACGUUCGGGAGUCGGGUGGCCGUAGGCCGUAGCGGCGGCGUUUACACGUGAAAUCUAGGCGAGGGAGACGGGGCUUGGCUUCCUGGGGGUCAGCGGGGGGAGGUAGACGGAAUGAUGCUGCGGGAAAGGGGAGGGCGUGGCUUUCCGGGUUGGGUUGCCACCCAGCCUGCCGCGGCGUGAAUGUUUAGGAGUCGCGAGGGUUCAACGAGUAUUAAAUGCUAUGCCACAUCAUCAAUUUUAUCGACUUAGGUCUAGUUUGAUUUCCUUUGCUUAUUUUUAGCACCCGUCACAUUCGAUGUGAUACGUGCUAAAAAUAAUCAAAAGUAACCAAACAGGACCUUAGCAACUUAGUUAUAAGAAGAGAGAAGAGGUGAGUUUUGUCCCCAUAAAACUCACCUAGCACAGUUACCAAUUCUCUGAAAUUUACAUUGAGGAUGUUAUAGUUGCAUCGCAAGACACAUUUAAUCGUAAUUCCACGUAAAAAAUAAAUAAUGCAGGCAGUGAUAAUUUUAUUCUAUUAAAAAGAUGAUAUGGUAGUUUUAGCAAUAGUGCGAUAACCUUCGGAACGUUUUUCCAAGACCGGAGCGGCACAGUUUGGUGGUGGGGAGCUGGUGGGCGCCGCCGACCCUAGCCGAUUGGAGUAUGGGCGUGGCCGCGGUAGGCAGGACGACGAAGAGCUGCCGGUUUGCAUGCCAGUGCCACCCCCCGCCGCUGUCCGCCGUGUCUACGUGCCCUGCUCUUCGCCAUUCCCGUCGUUGCUUCGUCGGGACGUUGGGGGUCUCAGUCUCUCCGACUCAGAUCACGGCAAUGGCAGCCGCGAUGCGGCACGGCGAGUUGCCCAUUGCGUACGCCGACGGGAUCACGGAGUGGACUCGCCAUUCAUGGCCGCGCCUGUACUGUACAUCACUCAUCGCCUCAUCAAUGAAUGGCUGCCUACAUCUCUCACGUCGCGUACGUGCGGAUUUAUGUUUGCGUUCGUAGAAUCGUCCUGGUCACCGUACAGUUGCACGCCGAUAUCAUCUCAUCUGCCGUGGAGUCAUGUGCACACACCUGACCCGGGCGAAGCACGGAACACAACAGGACUGCUGCCGGACCGCUGAUGGGAGGUGAAAUGGGCUCACUUUUCACUGGUGGGCUGCGCGUGCGUCACGCCGUCUGUCACCGGCAACGGGUUGGUACGAAAGUCUUUACGGAGUUUUUUUUUUUAUAUAUGAGGAUCUUUACGGAGUUUUUUUUAUUUAUUUAUAAGGAUCUUUACGGCGUUGAGUUCAAGGCGGGAAUGGCCUACCAGCGGAGCGGAGCCCGCCACCAUGUUUCUUUUUGAGCGGAGUCAAUAAGCGAUGAGGAGCUCUGUGGCGCACUUUUAUCCAGUGCUGUUUCAGCUCUUUGAGGGAGCCGGCAUGCCUUUUGGUCGGCAAUGAUCGCAGACGUGCUUGCCAAAUGAUGGGUGCCAUUGUCAUAUGGCAUUUUUUUUUCUUACCGAGGUUCCGCGAGCAAAGAAACAAAAUAGAAUGCAGAAGUUUCUCUGUCAACCUUGGUGUUUUUGUCGCACAAUUCCUAACUAUCGUCCUUGUUAAUGCAUACACAUCCCUGAAAACAUCUAGGAGAGAGUGACCAAAUAAAUCUUGAUAUCGAUAAAGUUAUCUUAUGUAUCAAAUCACGUUACGUACCACUGAAAAAAUAGCGAAUCCGAAUGAACAGGUUCCAAAAAAAGUUUAAGUGUAAGUACGUUUAUUUGAGGUACCGUUAACUUGGUUUUAUGUUGGUUUGGAUCCAUGAAAUUUUCUAGGGUGUUAUUUUGUAUUGGAACAUGAUUUGAUUUCUUAGAUUCAUGGAGCGGUUUAAGUUUAAACCGGAGUAAGAGUGACUCCAAAAGUCUCUCAAAAAAAAUCCAGAGCUCUACUAAAUUUUUUUCCCAAGUUCAUGUCAUCCCACAUCUCAAAUAAUAAACUCUCCGGUACUUCAAAACUAGUCAUGUCAGCUCCUAUGUUGGGCUGCCAUUAGCUUCCACCUCGCGAUCUGUUCUGGGUCGACCUCUUAGCGGCAGCGUCCGCUGCUGCCACUCGCCCCUCCCAGCGCCUCGCCCUUUUGCCGCCGCUCCUACCCAUCAAAUAUGCCGCUGCGUUGUGCAAAAUCAAUUUUUUUUAUGUUGUGCAAAAUCAGUUGGAGAUAGGUAAAAAGCUGAUGAAGCCUUUUCCGUAUAACUCCUUUUCCAUACAAACGGUGCUAGAUUCGUCCUGAGAUGACCAUGACGAUGAUUUUUUUUUCCUCUGUUGCUCAUGUGGCCAUGUUAGUCAGUAAUUUAAUGUUACUGCCCAUUGACACGAGAAGAAUUUGAUGAGAUAAUGCAUCAGUUACCUUCAACGGUUGCUUGUCUACGCCAUCAACAGCCACCAAAUUACUCGAGCACAGAUCUUAUUUCUCCAGCGAUUCCAAAACUGCUCCAGCUAGUACUUGCUCAUUGUCGUCCUCCCCGAGGCACAGCUCAUCCACGGGUGCAUCCAUAAGACCAACCGCAUCUGUGACUGUAACGACCGCGAGCUCCUCGGCCACUCCCAUCGGCUCAUCACUGGCACGGGGACCACCGCAGUACGUCUCCUCAUCCCCCAGCGCCGGUGCCUGGUCCGUCAUGCAGGAGGAUUCAGCCGACGACGACGUCCACGAGGCGGCGGAACCACCGUCCUCCUCCACCGCCUCCUCGAGGCGGCCGUCAUCAUCCGCGGAGGCGGGGGCGUGGUCCUCGCUCUUGCGCUCCUUCUUCCUGGCGUAGUACGCCUCGAAGAAGGCCUCCUUCUGCGCGACGGAACCCUGGCGCGCCUGCACGGCGGCCUCCUCGAGGUAGCGGUUGUGCGCGAAGGCGGACCACUUCCCCCACUCGAGCGGCUCGGUGAGGAAGCGUCCGAAGGAGACCGGCGGUUUUGGGAAGCUGUUAGAGCAUAAUUAAGAUAUUAGGAAUAAUUUAAGGGAGUUUUUGAAGUUGCUUCUUUCAUAAAAUGCUUCAUCUUGCAAAUCUUCUCACGGCCUCUGCAUUCAUGUAAGAGCAUCUCGCCUGUUUAAAUUAGUUCAACAUAUAGUUGUGAGAAGUUCCAUAUCUUGCAAAUAAAAUGCAGAGAUCUGUCCAGCUUCGAACUCAAUUGUCACCGUUAUGAAUGAGAUAAUGGACAAUAUUUGGUUCAUCAUAUGGCGAAUGUCCUUGCGGAGCGAAACACGAAAACUGAUGCCGAGUCUCGGUAGAAACGGACACAAAUUUCAGCCAUAUACCAUGGUGCUAGAGUGGUCUUGAUCAACGGCACACGUUUUUCAGUAGGGGCUUGCCCCUCCUGUCCCUAAAAAAACGGCACACGUUUUUGGAUAUGCCACCCUGAUUCGAUUUGUUAAGUCAUACUCCUUGUAAAGGGGAGCUUUUUCCUCACUUCAAGAUAAACUUAGAGCUUGAUUUUUUUUUUCAAAACACAGAAGAACGGAGUCACGUUGUACUUAUGGAGCUUCCAAUGUACUUCUUCCAUUUCAAAUUGUAGGUCGUCUUAGCUUUUCUAGAUUCAUACAUAUUACUAUAUCUAGAUGCAUAAUAAUAUUUAUGCACCUGAGUAGCAUCCAGCAGGUCUGGAUUUAACUCCUCGUGGAGCGAAUUAAACAGGUUUGGAAUAAAAAAUUAUAUUAAAAAAAUAGGUCGGGACUUCUCCUGCUGACUUCGGUAAACAAAUAACAUCCAUGCAUCUAUAAAAAUCAAACGACCUACAAUUUGGAACGGAGCGAGUACUGGAAUAAAGCUAUGUUUCAAUAGGGCUUUAUUUUAAGUCUCCGUCAAACUGGAGUUUUUUUAAUGUUUUCUGAAUUCCAUGCGAAUUGUUCGUCUAAACAAAGAGCGACCAGGGGCAUGAAGCCAUGAAGGCAACAAUAACAGUUUCCAAUGGAAGUCCAUUGAUCUCCCGUUAUCCCAGUCCGUUUCGGUCCAUGACCCAGCAGCAGGCAUCUAGCGCGGUUCCUUCCUCGACACACUACACGCCCGGCCCUUUUCCUUGGACUCCAAACCACUCGAUCUCCAUCCAACGGUCCAGCCCAUCCAACCAUCACCCGCGCAAAUCCCCACCAUUUAUACCCCGGACCCCGCGAACUCGGCAGCGCCCCGGACUCCACAGCCCCUCCACUCCCGCCGUGGCGCCGUCCACCAACUCUUCCAGUCCCCCACCCGCCAUUUCCAAUCCCCUCCGACCGCUCGGCGGUUGGCUCCCUCCCUCCGCGCCCGGGGGGCGGGAUCCGCCGCGCCCGCGCGCGCGCAAUGGCGCCGGACCCGACCAGCGAGCUCGUGGUCACGCCCAAGGCGGCGGCCAAGGACGCGGCCUCCUGCUGCAAGUCCACGCCGCCCAAGGUCUCCUCCGUCUCCCCCGACGAGAUGCGCGCGGUGGCGCGCAAGUUCGCCGACCAGCCUAUCCAGGAGACCGAGCCGGGCGUCUGGGCCGUCCUCACCGCCAUCUCCAAGAAGGCCCGCCUCCGGCCCCAGGUCCCCUCCCUACCCUCCCUUAAACCCUAACCCUAAAACCCAAGCUCUGACGUCACUGAUCCGUCAUCCGUGUUCCUGUCUUUGUAUUUGCCUGCAUUGCUAUCCGGAAACAUUUGUUGGAUUGCAAUGUUUCUUGUCAUGUGCUUUAUCGGCUGAUGGCACUGCUAGUGCUAUUAAUUUCGUUUCUGAUAAUGGUCUGCAAAUGCGCCAAGCAGAAGCAGUGACUCGGCUUGCAUCACUAGCGCAAAGUAGCAUUUUGCGUUUUGGCUUCACCAAUUACAGAAUGUAGUAAGCUUCUCUGUACUUGGGAGAAAGUUCAGACCGGUUUUUGUUAUCGAUAAUUAUGCUUUUCAUUCAAUGGCUUGAAAAAAUUCAUGGUCUUUUAUAGAUGUUUUUCGUCUUGUGCUUGCUGAAAAUGCAAUUAUGAGGCAUAUGUUUCUUCAGCCAUCUGAUGGAAGUUCUUUGAACCAACUGCAGGGAAUUAACAUUCUUUUGAGUGGUGAGGAGCACUACCUAGGACGUGGCGUUGAGGACCGCUUCCAGAUUUCUGAUCCACAAAUAAGUACAAGGCAUUGCCGGAUAUACAAGGACACUGUGUUGGGGGAGCUGAACCGCCAUGAGCCUGUCCCUGUUUUCAUCAAGGACACAAGGUUUCUCUUCUUCUGGAUCUUUCCGUAUCUGUCAGUUUCGUUUCCUUUUCUUUCUUUUGUUGAGCUAAUCUCUUGUGUUCCGCAGCUCGAAUGGCACUUACAUCAACUGGAAAAGGCUCAAGAAAAGUUCAUCCCCAGUCAAGCUUAAUCAUGGUGACGUUAUAUCAUUUAUAUCAGUUCACAAAGGUAAGAUUCUUUGCUCCUUCCAAUUUCAUUAGUCUGUACUGGGUUCACUAGGGGGUAGCUAUUCAUUUGCUAGUACCAUGUUAUCACUCUCUCUUGUGCUUGAUGUUGUAAAUCUUCAGUUCAACUGUAUGUUUUUUUUUAUUGAACAAGUUCAACUGUAUGUUGCUUUUGCAGAUUCUUCGUAUUCAUUUGUCUACCGUGAAGUUAAUGCAAUCAGUUGCGUAGAGAAUGGGGCUACCAUUCUCAAAAGGAAGUCAGGUGAGGAGUUUUGCUUUCUUAUCGUUUGGUGAUCACGACUAUGUUGCGAGUUUUGUUGGUUGUCUUCUGGUUUGGUGAUCAUGACUAUUGUUACAAGUUUUGAUAUAUACUUACCACUAUUUUUGUUUGAUCUUGAAGAGGAGGGUGGUUCUGGAAGCAAGAGGCUAAAGGGUCUUGGUAUUGGUUCUCUUGAUGGUCCUGUUUCACUCGAUGAUGUCCGGAGACUAGAAAAAUCUAAUGCCGUAAGUUGGCUCCUUCAGUACGACAGUAGCUUCGUGUCCUGGAGAUUUGCUAACCUUUCUAGCUUAAACUGACGCAGGAUCUCAGGGAACAACUUGAAGCACAUGUUGUGACAAUCGAGACUUUGAGAACUGAAAUAAAAGUGGCCCAAGCGCAGCAUGGAAAGGUAUACGUUACUUUCAUGAAGUGUUUGUAUUUUGCCUUUUUUUCAGUGCUAUGUUCCUCCUAGCAUAAAUAAUUUUGCUCUUGCACUUCAGGCCCAGUAUCACUUCUAAAUUCUAGUGUUUAUCAAAUCUACUCCCUCCAUCCCAAAUUGUAGGUUGUUUUGACAUUUCUAGAUUCAAUGAUUUUACUAUGUAUCUAGACAUAAUAUAUAUUUAGAUGCAUAGCAAAAACUAUAACUUAGAAAUGCCAAAAUUUGGGAUGGAGGUUGUACUUGCCUCUGAUGUUCCUCUAUUGCUUGUUAAAAUUUCCUACAUAAUUAUCAAUAAUUGAUAAAGUAAUCUUAUAUUUAUUGAAGUUUAUACCUAUUUAUCCGGGAUGGGGAAUAUUCACUCCUCUGUUAAAAUUUCCCUUUUGCCAUCAAAGAUCAGGUUUCUACUUGAAGAUUGUACUCAUCAUUGUCUUAUUGCCUUUAUUUGUAACUAAGCUUUUGCAAAUCCGAUGAUGUAGGAACUUGAGGAGCUGAGAGAAACUACAUCAACUUCUUAUCUUGAUCAAACUAAAUCUCUCCGGUUAGCACUUGAGGAGAAACAAAAGCAACUUGAUUCACUCAGUACAUCAAAUACAGAGUUACAGAAUUCCAUUAAAGACCUGGAUGAAAGGCUUAGUGCAUCUAAGCAAUCACGUGCCGAUGCUGGUGAGAUAAUUUCGAGGUAUUCUGCAUUGCCGUGAUAUAAAUUUCUUACCGUUUGACAACAAUUCAAAGAACUCUGUUAAUCUCUUUCGAUGCUUCAUUUACUAUUACAUGAGGAUCUCAUAUAUCUGAGAUUUGCAAUGUUUCCAGCCAGAAAGCAAUUAUAUGUGAGCUUGAGGGACAGCUAAGUGAGGAGCGUAACUUAAGAAGAGAGGAGCGUGAUAAGGCUGUGCAGGACAUGAAAUCUGCAUUGCAUAAAGUGCAAGCUGAGGCUCAAGAAGAAAUUAAAAGACAGGCGGAGUCUUACCUUAGACAACAAAGGGAACAAAAAGAAGUUAUUGGCAAACUUCAGGUUAUACCUUUCUUCAAUUAAAAUCUGAUCUGGAAGUCAUGUCUUUUACAUCAUAUAUUGCAAUAACUCCGACUUCUGUUUCCAGGAAUCAGAAAAAGAAACCCGUUUGCUGGUGGAAACAUUGAGGUCCAAGCUGGUAUGCUAUUUCACAAUGAUUGCUUCAAAUUCUUUCAUUCCUUUGAUGCACCUCAAUUAUUUGUUCUCUGAUUCUCUCAUGCAGGAAGAUGCUCGAGAUAAUCUUGUAACAUCCGAGAAAAAAGUAAGAGAGCUGGAAGCUCGACUUCAAGAUGAGCAGCUAGUAUCGGCUAACAAUCAAAAGGUACCAAGCAGUGUGCAUGGUAGACUUAAGUAAUUAUCACAUCUAAGUAAAAUGUUUUUCAUUUGUUGUAUUUUAGCUGCUGAUAACAACUCAACCCCUUCUGCCCCCAUGCAAUUGCAGAAAUCAGAUAAUCUGGAAACUGAACUGAGGAAACUGAAGAAAGAACUUGAAAAUGAGAAGGUACAAGACAGUCAGAUGAGCUUAGAUAUUAGGUUGCUCUCCUUUACUUACAAGCUGACAACAUGUAUCCUUUUGUUAGCAGGCUGCUCGGGAAGAAGCAUGGGCGAAGGUUUCAGCUCUUGAGCUUGAAAUAGCUGCAACAAUUAGAGAUCUAUCAAUUGAGAAACAGAGGUAUCAAGGAGCUAGAGAACGAAUUAUUUUACGGUAAAAAUCCUGUUUCAGUUUUAUAUAGACACAAUAAAUCCCAAGUGUGUGCACUACACGUUAUGUAUAAUCCUUUGUAUCCCCCCCGUAUAUUGCUUAUUGCAGAGAGACUCAGCUGCGUGCUUUCUAUUCAACUACAGAAGAAAUCUCUUCUCUGUUUGCAAAACAGCAGGAGCAGCUGAAAGCUAUGCAGAGAACUUUGGAGGAUGAAGAGAACUAUGAGAAUACCUUAAUGAGUGUUGAUCUCAAUAAAGUUCCAUUGGCCACUGAUGAUGCCCAUAUGAAAUCAGUAGGGUGCUCAAAAAAUACAGUGGAAGCUCCAAGUGCGUCAACACAGAAUACCCAAGUAAGUGAACAUAGUUCUAGUGAUGAAGAUGCCAACAUGACUGAGCAGCAUGCUGGUGGUACUGCUGAAGGUGGCAGCACUCAAGGUCUAGAGUGCUCUAGUCCAGAAAGGUCAGAGGAUAGAUUAAGGUCUGAUUUUCACGGAAAUCCUGUUCCUACAGCUCCUGAGAGGGAGGUAACAGAUACUGAGCAAGUUCCUGAGACAGAAAGUCAAGCUGGUAAUGUUGGUUGCGAUGACCAAAGAUGUGACAAUAUGGGAGAGACUAUGCCGCUUGAAGAUGAAGCGCAGCCUCAAGAAAAUGAGGAAGCUAAAGAUGGGGACCAGCCACAUGCAAAUGAGGAUCCUGUUCCAAUCCCCAAAGAUGGCAUUGGCCACUGUUCUGAAGAUAAACUUGAGUAUGAUUGCUCCGAGAGCAAACGGGAGGAUGCUCAUGCUGGAGCUAUUGGAACAGCUGAUCUGUUGACCUCAGAAGUUGCUGGAAGCUGGGCAGUGGAAACAGCUCCAUCUGUCAAUGGUGAAAACGAAUCGCCUAGGAGCGUGGAAGAUGCUGGUGAUGCCGUGGGGCAGGAUGAGGAAGAUGGUGGUAGCAUGGCGGCGGAUGCUUUGCUAACUCUGGUGAACUCGGAGGGCCAAGCGGCUGGGAGUCAGAAUAAUGCUGAACAUGCCGUUUCCAAAAUAACUGACCACCAUCGUGUCCUUAGUGCCAUGAUUGAAAUUGUUGAUCCUGAAUUCAAAAAACAAAUGUCUAGAAGUGGCGGUGGAAAUGAUGAACCAAUGUCUGAUGCCGAGACGGAUGAAGGCAGCGAGGAAGUUGAUACAGAUGAUGACAGCGAGGAGCCUAUGGUUGAGGAUUCUGUUGGGUAGGUUAAAAGGAGUCGACUUUCCUUGUGAAUAGUUAGAACUUUUUAUUCCUGUACUUUUCGCAUGUGAGGUUGUACCAUGGUGUUGCAUGUAUGCAUUUUAUUUUCCAUUUCUUUCUAAUUUAUAUAUAUAUAUAUAUAUAUAUAUAUAUAUAUAUAUAUAUAUAUAUAUAUAUAUAUAUAUAUAUGUAUAUGUUGAUACCAAGUGAAGUGUCAUGUUUGGCGCAGAUGGUUUCUCUUGGCAUAUCGAGAUUAACUAUGGGAUCUGCUUUUCCAUUUUUAAUUUAGCAAUAAAUAUGUAAUAACAAAGUUCAUAAAAGAUAUGUUGCCAUCUUGAAACUGCAAACAGCAAAUGCAAUCAAAAUACUCCCUCCAUCCUAAAUUAUAGGUCGUUUUGAUUUUUCUAGAUGCAUAAAUAUUAUUAUGCAUCUAGAUAAGGUAUAUUUAAAUGCAUAACAAAGUCUGCAUAUUUGCAUACUCUGGUACUCAGGUACCAAGUUGCAGAAAACAUCAACAACGAGAGAUAUAGUAGUACAAAAGAAUAUGAAUCAGCUACAAUUUGAUCAGUUUGGUAACUCAAACAAAAGAUGUAUCAUCCAAAGAAUAAAUAAACAUAGAGGGGUACAAGCAGGUUCAUCACCUGGAAAAAUACACGGUGAUUAUUAACGACAUUUUAAAACCAAUGAGUUAGGAAAUCAAAUGCUUUCAGUUCAUCUAGACCGACAUUCCUUUUGUUUUUCCCAUGAAGCAGUCGGCAAUGCCUCAGAGUUCAUUCCUUCGAUUCAUGGUUCUUCCCUACGCCGUUCUGCUGUGCCUGCUGCAGCUGGUAAAACGGGAUCGGCGUAGCCUGCUGCUGAUGCAGUUGGAACAUCUGGUCCUGAGCAUUGAGUUGAAGCUGCUGGGCUAGAUUGUUGGACGAGCAAGAAUCGCCGAGCUCUGCAGUCGCGAGUUUCAGGCGCUGGACCUCGGCUGUCAGUGCCUCAUUCAGUGCUGUUCAAGAAGAAAAUAAAAUAUGAUUAUUAACCUCCAAAAAAUAGAAGAAUUGGCACAUAACUACCAUGUUGCUACCAACUAGACUCUAGCUGACAUAAGUUCCCAGAAAGCACAUGCUGCCAUGCUGAUAUGUUAGCAUGUCUGUGCCUGCUGCAUUUUUUUUAAAGUGCAUAUACUCCUAAAUUAUACUCCCUCCGUCCAAAUUAUAAGUCGUUCUAAUUUUUUUGAGAGUCAAAUUAUUUUUAUGUUUGACCAAAAUUAUAAAGAAGAUCAUAUAGGUUUAUAGCACCGAAUAGGUAUAUUAUUAAAAUAUAUUUAAUGAAGAAAACUAAUAGUACUUAUUUGAUAUCUACUUUAUUAUAUAAAUUGAGUCAAACUUGAGAUGAUUUAACUCUCUAAAAAAGUUGGAAUGACUUAUAAUUUGGAACAGUAGACACUAAGCAAGGGUGCAAGAUUAAACAAAACACAAGCAAAUCUUGGUCCUCUGAUGAUGGCUAGCACAUCUUCCUAGACACAACUAGUAGGAGUAGUACAUGCUAACGACUACCGGUAUUGCUCGAGGGAUUGUAUAGAAAAUCCAACCACCAAGGCACCAACUACCAACCCGGCCACCUCCAAAUGCCAACACGAGCUCACCCGCAAUUUCAGAGCCGUGGGCACACGAACUGGGACAAGCCAACAUGUCAACGUCGACUUCAAUGGGAUAAUAGUUUCUUCUGCUAACUUAUCCAAGACUAUAGUGCCUAGCACAUCGGACGUUGACGGGCACAGCAAGGAACAAGGAGGCAUGGAGAGGUGAGUGAGAUCAGGAGACGACGCACCGUCGCGCAGCUGCGCCUGCUGCUCCAUGGCCUGCAGCCGGAACUUGAGCUCGUUGUUCUGCGUCGCGAUCCCCGCCGAGUCGCGCUGCGAGAAAUGUUCAAGAACUGUGUCAAUCUCACGAAGUGAAUCACUUGAAAGUGAUAGAGGAGAAAUGGACCAGAGAACGCGAGAGGAAUUAGAGCAAGGUACCUGGAGAAGAGUGAGCUGAGCGGAGAGAGUCGUGGCUUCUGUUUGCAGGAUCUGCACCUUCUGCUCCAGCUCCGCAAUGUAGCGCAUCUUCCGCUCCUUGGACCGCGCCGCCGACUGCCUGUUCGCCAGCACCCUACGAAUGAACGAUCACGCAACAACACACAGCUCGAAUCGAUCAGUCCAACCAUUUCACAGUAACACAUUGUAAUCACGAAGCAUUUUGCAAGCUUGAUCGAUCCUAAGGACCAAUAAUGGAGCGGAAGAGCUCAAGAAUUUGAGAUGAAUGGCAUCAAGUAGCAGUAGUAGUAAUUACCUCUUGACGCGCUUGGGGUCGGCGAGGGCCAUCUCGGCGAGCUUCUCGUCGGCCAUGAUCUUCUUCAUCUCGACGGGUGUGAACUCGCCGCUACCGAACUCGAGGCUGAACCUGUUGGGCCCCGGCAUGACGCCGUUGGCCGCCGCGCCGGCGGAGAAGUUGAGCUUCCCGAUGAGGCUGUCCAUGGACAGGCUCCUAGCGUGGCGCGCCAUGGGCGCGGCGGCCGCCGCCGGGUCCCCCGCGGCGCUCCUCUUGAGCCCCUCCCGCCUGUCGCCGGCGGCGCUGGCAUCGCCCCAGAGUCGGAUCCCGGCCGCGCGGCUGUCGGCGGCGCACUCCUCCGACUCGUUCUCGCUGCUGUCGGCGCCGUUGGUCUUCAUGCUGCUCCCGCGGCUGUCCCCGUCGUCGUGGCGCUCGUCGGAGGAGUUGAGCCCGUCCAGCCCCUCCAGGUUGAGGUACGCGUUGAAGAGGUCGUCCGCGUCACCGCCGCCGCCAACGCCGUGGUGGCUCCAGCCGGCCUCCACCUUGGGCGGCGGGAGGUGGGACGUCGCCGGCGGGAAGUACCCGAACGGGACGUCGCUGCGGGAGCGGCGGUGCGCCUUGUUACUGCGCGCCGCGGGGUCGAUGUCCAUGCACACGUCCCCCGGCGAGGGCCGAUGCCCGGCGAACGACGCCGGGGGUGGCGUUGGCGGUAGACCCGGCGGCCUCGGCUUGGCGCUGGCCGCGUCGGGCGCGAAGGACGACGUCGCCAUCGGCAGCGACACCCCCAGCUGCUGCUGCACGUGCUGCUGCAUCAUCAUCGCGGCCGCGUGCGGGUCGCCGACGAUGCCGUUCAUGCUCGGCCUCGGCGCGGGCGGCACGCGGUCGAGGGAUCCCGAGGUCUCCACGGAAGGAGUAGGACAGACGGACGGGCGAGCGAGGCGGCGUCGGCGGUGCAGACGCCGCGACGACGCAGGGCGGCGGCGGUGGAAUCGAAUGGGAAUGGAAUGCGCGGUGUUUGGGUCGGGCGGGCGCUUUUAAGGGUGUAUUUAAUCGCCGUUUGGUGACGAUCGAUGUCUGUGACUGAGCGCGAGGUGGUGUGGUGGGGGGAUGCCGCUGCUCCUCCUCCUCCGUGUGCGGUGGGGUUGCCUUUGCCGUGCCCUGCCGCUCCCUAUUUCAUCCAUCUUGGCGUUGGCAUGGCAUCCCCCGUUUUGUUUGGCUUGGUCUCGGCUCCUUGCUUAGUACCUUGGUGCGCUCGCCUGCGCCUCGCUACGCGCCACUCCUCAGCAUGCGUAUCGACCUCGUACAGGGGCCGGCCGCGCGCGCGGUGUGGGGGCGGCGGCGGCCUGCUGCCUUGGCUUGCCUCGCAGCACAGUCAAGACAAGCAUUCAUGUGGGUUUGAACAAAGCUCUGUGCGAGUUUGGCUGUACGAACACAGCAACGGACGGCCGCUGGUUCACUCUCGCUGCUGGUCUGUGUUUGGGGGUGUGCCAGCUGGGACCUGAUCGAUAGCUUCCUCUGCUGCCUUGGUCGGAAGAUGCUGUUACGGCAUUUUGCCUGUGCAGAUGGUUGGAUCCAGCGUGCCGAUUAUUCUGUCAUCCUGGUGAUAAAAAGUCGCAUGCGAACUUGCCGUUUGAGCAGUAUGAACUGUAACACAACGCAAUGCAUAGGAUACGAGCCGGCUAUGCUAGUAGUGGAGUUACGUUAUGCAUGCUUCACAAGAUUAUUAGCCUGGUUCAAUGCACCAAUAGUAACAACCUCACUGCGAGCUGGAACCGGCUCUCAUGCAUUGUACGAGCAGAAAAAAGAUGGUAAAGUUCGUCCCUUCUCUGCGUGAUCGUCGGAUCCAACGGCUCUCAUAAAUCACUGUCUGUGCAAAUGUGACCAUGCAUGGUUUUAAGUACAUCGGUGCAUCAGUGACAGGAGACACGCUCACUGUUCAAUCGGAGAUUGUACGCUCGUGAGCUUCAUUACGCAGUGAGUAUUUACUAAUGUAUGAGCUCACUUUACUAUAAUUUAAAAAAGGUUGGUUUUGCAAAAGGUUAUGAUUGCCAAUCCCCUGGAUCUUCCAGAAAAAGUGAUCGAUACGCAUACAAAGCAAUGCUGCUUGAAAUUAAAGUUUAGUUGCAUGAUCAUUUUCUUUGGUUCGCAACUGCAGGUCAUGUGCAUUAAUGCCGAUACGGGGCCUUUCCGCUUUAGCUUUCUCGAUCGAAGUAUCAGGUCCUUUUGUUCGAUUCCCAAAGAUCGCUGAGGUCUGAGGAGUGAGGGCAGGUCGUCUGAAGAAGGCACAAAUUCUCCUAAACUUUGCAGGUCCCGCUGGUAGCUCGCAGCAGUAUUCAUACUUUGAAUGACUGCAUGCACAGACACAGACACGAAUGAAGGCGGUUGCAUCUGGCUGUUUUUCUUGGCCGACAAGUUAAAGCCACGCCGCUGCUGAGCUGUGCUACAUGCAGAGAAGUACAACGACACAUCACGUGCGCUGCCACUGCCACUGCCACUGCCAUGUCACCGUGUGUAAUGCAAAUGCAGCGCAUUAGACUCGAGCCACGCAGAGAGACUAGCAGUAUGGCUAGGUUAGGCUAGGGUCAGCACAGGCAAUUGCCGGUUGCAGCAGCCGCGGCGGUGCCACAUGCGCGGCAGACGGGCGGAGCCACACGGUUUCUCUGAUCACGGUUGGAAUGGGAAAGCCAAGCCAAGCCAAGAAAGCAAGACUUCUCCUCCAGAAACUAAACAAAAGCGGCUUUCUGGGGGGAGAGAAACCGUGUGGGGACCAGCCGGGUCAUGGAGCGGGCCCCGCGUGGCAGCAUGAUUCCUGGCGAGGUGGCGUCUGGCGAGUGCUCCUGCCCCGGCACAUGGCGGGGUCGGUCCAUCCCGGCCGUCCGUGGCGAGGGAGUCGGCGACACGACUCGAUGACGUCUCCGUCCCCAACGGAAGGCAAGUCGUGAGCGGGUGAAUAUUCUAUGGCGGGGUGGACGGGGAGAGACUGCCACUUUUGCGAAGACGUGCGCGCCGUGCCGUGCGUCGAGGGCCCCUCCCCCGCUUUGGCUCGUCUCCACUUGUCCGGCUCGGCAGGCACAUCGCAAUGCUAAACGGACGACGGACCCGGGCGGCCAUCCUUAUGGGUCUACAAAGGUCAAUGGACCGCCCAACUAUACGGGCAAUGUAUGCAACGACAGGCACGGCGAUUGUCAAUUUGUCAUACGACAAGGAACGAUGCAUGCUACUCGUAGUACACAUAUGCAAUAUAAUGCUGUCAUAAGCAAGUGACCUGUUCGCUUCAGCUUAUAAGCCGGCUGAAAAGUUAAAACGACUGAUUUAUUGUGAGAGGAAAAUACUAUUUGGUAGCUGAUAAGCCAGCUGAAUAAGCUGAAGCGAACAAGCCGAAGGUUGCCGAGUAUACGAUCGAUGCUGCAGCUGGUGGAUCGAGGAGUAGCCAGGAACAACGCUGCAGUUGAUGUACCCCGGACGGCCUGGCCGGACCACACAAGGUGCACGGGGGAUACCAGGAACGGAAGCGUACGGCGCCCGGCUCACGUGGCGGCCAGGGCGUACGGCGGCAUCGGCGUCCUCGUGACAGGCCUUCAUUUGGCAUGUACGACACCUACGACUAUGGCUCGCUCGUGAGUCGUGACGGAUGCUCUGUGAUCCUUGCUACAUGCGCGUCACGUCAUCAUGUAAGAAAUUUGUAUGACAUGGGAUGCGGCUUCUUCGGCGUACAUCCUGAUUGACAGUGAUGGUAGUAACUUUGCGUCGUCGGUGAUGCGGAUACUGAUCGCGCACAUCGUGCCCCAACCAUGGCUACAGCGUGCCAUGCAGCGUAGCUUCGACAUGCGUGUUUUACUGCAUCGAUUGAUCCCGUUCACUCGUUCAGGCAUGCCAAUUGCCAACGCGUAGCUGCAGAAUUUUCCAUCAGCUCCGUUCGUUUCUUUACUCCGAAAAACUAGCUCAUACGUGUGUAGGUGCUUAAAGUUACCACAGGUUUGGAAAUUACUGCUGGCUGACUAUCUCCCUGCUUUUCUGAAAACUUGACAAUCUCCCUGCUCAAAACCCUUCUUCUGAGAUCAUCUGGGACACUGGGGGUACUAUUUCUUUGCCCCCAUCAAAGAAUUAAACAGAAAAAUGCUACACGUGCUUUCAAGGAAAGUGGGCUUAAUCUAGGCCCAGUAGUAUAUUUCUGGGAAGAAGAAGAAGAAAAAAGCGGGACAUGGACAGCCCAUUCGGGCCCAUAAGGAAACGCACAUUCCCGUAGGGAAAGAAGAAGCUAAAGGCCCAUCAUUCUUAGUCUGCAAUUUUACCUCUACAGUGACACUUGUACACCCAUCACACGUAUGCAUUUUGCACAUCUUUUUUUUUGUGUGUGCGCACCAUAGCAGUGAAUCACUCAAGGAGUCAAGACUAUCCUCCGCAAUGAGUGAACAGUAAAAGGAUCAUAGUAAAGCGCAGCACAUAGGUCAAUGCAGAAAUCAGAACGCUCGCGUCACAGGGAACAAUAAUUACCGGAUAGAAGAGUCAGAGAGACGAAAGGUAGCUAGCUACUACCUGCUCGCAAUUCAACCAGGGCAUGCAGGAGCGAUCGAUCGCAGGAGCAACCCGGAGUGGGCUGCAAUGGAGAGGCUACGGCUACCCGCAUCUGCUUUUAACAGACCCGUCUUUUCACCAAAGAACGAAGCCGUGUGUUGCCGCCUGUGUGAAUGCAUGGAGAGAUCAUAGACCUACGAGAACCAGAAAAGGUAGGAGGAAGCAGCUGUAAAAAUCAGUACAUGUAAGAAAGGAUUGGUUGCAUGAGUUGAAAACCAGCUAGUAGUUACGGCAGAUGAAUGAUUCACACUCAUGCAGAUCGGCCGGCCGGCUUCCGUGCAGACGCGCAGAUCAGUCUGCACUCUCCUCACCACCGAUCCACAGCUGCAUGCGCGGAAAUGAUAUGUAGAGCGGACGUCUCCGACGCGGAGGAGCGUCGGAAAGUGCUCGUGUGCGUGCCUGCCAUGGCCAGAGCCCAGAAACCUGAAUUUUGCAGUAGCCUGCUUCCAGAGAUCAAGGCCACCGACCGGCCAACAAUUGCAAGUGCCUGUACAUCGCAGUCACAGGUCUCACUGCAGCCAUACUUCAUGAUCACACCUCUCAAUUCAAUGGCAGUGUAUUACAUCUUGCCGGUAUGUUUCAAUGUUUUUUUGUGUGAUUACGUUGUUCAUCAUCUCAUCUGCUGAUCGAAAGUUAGUGAGCCGAUCAGCUGUAGUAUGUUGUUGUGAAUGCACUACUAAACUGUACGGAAUGAGCGAUCCACUUAUCUGCCAUUAGGCCAAAUCAGCUUAGAGAAACUUUGUUCCAACUUCCAAGCCACUCGAGGAGGAGCAAAGCUAGCUGCUACCGUCGUGUACUUGCCUGUGCCACAUCAUUUCGUCUCUUUAGUCUGUUCGUCGUCAUGAGCUAGAGAGAAUUUCGAUGGAGGGAUCGAUCAUGCCGCCGGUCAUUAGUCCACGAGAUCCAUCGAUGGCACACGCAUGCAAAUCGAGGGGCUGCGCCACUGCCUAUAGUAUAUACAUGCAGCAUGAUUCAGGGAAGAAGGUUGUUCAGGCCAUCAAGAACCUGUCGAAUCGAUCGGUGAUGGCGAUUCAUAACACAUUGCUUUUCUACUUCUACAAAUAUAUAUUCAGUAAUUGGAAGAACUGGUUCCUUGCUUCAUCAGUCGAUCGAUCUGAAUCUGACUAGCGCGCGUGCGUCAGUGCGUGCGUGCGUGCAUGAAGCAAGCAUUGACAUGGCGAUGGUCGUCUGGCAACUGAUUGCGAUGCUUGAGCGAGCUUUCUUCGAGGCAACCAUGGCGCGCGCUCCGAUCCAUACCCUGGAACGGAAUGGAGUGGCAGCGGGCAAUGAUAGCAUGGGAUGGAAUGGAUGGAUCGAGAGGCCAUGCAGCAUGCAGAGACACAGCAUGUACAGCGCGAAUGUAUGAGAGGAAGAAGGAAGAAAGGAAAGGAAAGGAAGAAGGGAUCGAAGAAGAAGCUUGAUGCUCACAUCACAUGUAUCAAAAGUGGCAAGAGUGUGCCGCAAGUAUCUAUCCGAUACAUCUAUCCCAUCUCUAUCUCUAUCUCCCUACCCUACAUCACCUACACUUUUUUGCGCUUUUUCGAUGACCGGCCGGUAGCCCAACGUGUUGGGGGGUCCCUUUCAUUCGCCUCACCAAACUCCAUCGCCUCCUCUUCAUCCACGACGGCCAAAACAAUAGUAACCCGUGUAGCUAGCAACCUAUGGUCUCUCCCUGACGGCUCGUUUGCUGGUCGAUCACUUGGUCAUUCAUCUGAUCCCUUGCCGUUCAAUCACCUGGAUCUCCACUAGCUAGCUGCCAUUAAACUACGAGUUCAGGCCUGCAUUUUUUUUUUUGGCUCUCUUAUGUGUGCACAUCAACGCCUACUUACAAACACUAGUUAUAUCAGCAUUGUAGCUAGCGUGCCGCCAAAUUAAUCAGUUGUGCAGGGCUGCCGGCAGCCACUAUUGAGCCAAAGAAAAAAAAAUCUAGUAGCUCAGUUGAUGCUCGAGCAGUAGCAGAACAUUUUGAGCACGUUACACUGUCAACAAUUAUAAAGCACGCACGGCAUGUCCAGCUUUUUACAACGGGAAGGAAAGGGAAAACAGGCUUUUCCUUGAAGGGGAGCUGAGUGAUCGAUCGAGCAUAGUAUAACACAUGCAAUGUACUGUUGUUACUGUCAUGCUUAUGUAUAGGCUUUACUGUGGCGGCAUGCAUGCUCGCCUGGCUAGCUAGGCUUUUUGCCGCUUACGCCAAGGAUGCCGGAUCUCUCGAUCCCAACACAUGUUACCAUAUGCGAGCUGUUUGCGCAUGUCUUUUCCUCACCAAACGAAAACGACUUGUUGCAGGGGACACACACAGAACCAGCUGCUGGCUGUCAGUUUCCGAGAUCGAGGAGGCCGGCCGGGGACGGUCGCGCGGCCCGGGUCUAUCCAUGCAUGCUUGAUGCCGCCCGGCCGGCCGGCGGCCGGCCGAGUGUGGAUUGUGCCAAGCAACGCAACUUGCAUGGCGGCCGGCCGGGUGUGGCACGUUGGUUGGAUUGCGGCCGCCGAUGCGGGGAGGGCGCAACGCGUAGGGCGGAUAGGCGGGGGCGGGCACGGCGGCGGUGGUGGUGGGCGGCGGGGCCUGCGCGUCGCGCACGGCACACACAGUUCGUUGGGGGUCGGGGUCUGGUUAAUGAUGCCGUGAGCGCUCAUGAUUGGGCAGGCGGAUGGGCCGGCUAAUCCCCCACGGGGCUCUUUCGGUCCGACCCCGGCCGAGCGGGCGCGGGCAUGCAAGGGAGGAUCGAUGGUGGAAUGGAUGGGCGGCGGCCGGCGAGCGACGGUCCGUCCCCAUCCGAUCCGCACUGCACCGCCCCACUUUGCUGCUUGCCGGAUACGAGCGUGAUUCUACUCGCGUUCACUCCUGCCCUGCUGUGCUCUCUCGUUUCUGUUUCUGACUGACUUCGCUAAUUCCCUCAUCUGCAUGUAUUUGCCUGUUUAGGUAAGCAUGUCACUAGCUGUAUGGAUGCAUGAAUGCUGUCCAAAUUGAUUGGGCUUGUAUGUAUAUGUCAACUUUUGUCUUAUGCUAGGUACCGUUGCAUUUCGAUUUUUCAUUAAAAAAAGGAUUCCUUUUCGAUUCUAGAACAUCUUUAAUUUGUCAAAAGAUUGCCACCGGGCGGUAACUAACAUGUGACAGUGAAACUUUGCAUAUUUUUAGGGCAAACCAACUUUUUACGGAUGGUUAAGUAACUACAAGUAGGCUAUAAUCAUAGUAGAUCGAAAGUGUAGUAGUAAAGUAACUCUGAUACUGACAGCGACGGUUAGCCAAUCCUUACGGUGAGUUGGUAACUGCCGCCGCAGGAUAUACACUGUCUCGGCGGUCAGUUAACUACAACUAAGCAAAGGUAAACUAAAACUCAAACAUCAUCUCACAGAGAUACGCACGGCACCGCCGUGCGUGCCGGCCCACCAAUGAAAGCAAACCACCGCAAAGCGAGAGGGCGAGCCGAUCACGAUCAGCUAGCUAGCCCCACAAGACAUGCAUGCUCACACAUCACUCGAGUACUGUUUCCGGAAUGCAUGCCAUAGUGUUUACGGCUUUUCCAUCGAUGAUCCAUGUAUCUUUCAUGCACGCAUAUCUCCUCCCUCUUGGCCUCCAGCUGCGAUCAAGUACCGAUCGAAAGAGAUCCAAGUUAUUACAGCAGAAAAAAAAACAGCAUCCAUUGCAGGCAGUGCUCGUCACAUCACCGGAAAAGUACGCUCCAUCCGAAAGUUCUUUCUGAUCCGCUUUUGACUUUGCUGCCCUCGCCGGUCCCGGCCCAGAGUUUCUAGAGAGGCAUAUGCAGCAAUCAGGCUAAAGGCAUACCUGAAUGCUUGCCGGAAGGCCGAGAGCUACAUCGUUUCCAUGGAAAAAAUCUGGGCGCUUUUAGCGACAAGAAGGCAAAGAAACACUGUUUUGGCUACAUGAUUGAGCUUGCUUUCACCUUCGCUUUCUGAAUCUCUGCAUGAUCAUAUACUGAACAAGCUAGCGCGCGCUGUGGUUGCACCACAUGUCCGUCGUCCCCGGCCGUCGCGACGUCUGUGCCCGUUCCUUCCCUGACUGCAAGCUACUCAUCCUGCCAUGCCACAUGUAAACAUAACCGAUCGACUGUCAGAAGGUGCUCGUGCGCGAUGGCACAACAGGUUACAAGUGGAGAUCCUCGUAGCCCUAAACGCCGUCGAGUGCAAGGCCGCCGAUGUGCGUCCUAGCUGCUUCUGUGCUUGUACCUGGUGUAUCUUGUACGUAAAGCCUCUCGAUCGCCUCUCUGCCUCGUCGCCCUGACAGCGAUCGCCUGCAGCUACGUGUCGAGUUUCAGAGGCUGCCAUCGUUUCAGCUAAGCUGGUGAUAUGGUGGUGGUAGGGUCCUGGCGGCGCCCGAUCGAUCGGACAGCGCCCAAUUCAGCGUUGCAACUUGGCCUGCUGCGCCCCGUUUCUUCUCUCCGUCGAACACGUACGUCGAUCUGCAUCCGCUUUACGGUGCUCGUAUGUUCCUGCAUCAUAAUCAUAAAUACAAGUAUACUAUACUUGCUUGUAGCUAGAUUCAGAAAAAGAUGCAGAGAUAGCUUAAAGAAGGAGAUGUGUACUGGAUGGAAGCAGCUAGAGCUAGCUACCUAGUUCUAGAGGCCUCACUACCGGUUGGAGUAUAGCUACCAUGAUUAGUAUACACUAACCUGGAGAGGAGAGGACCAAUCAGUGGCCACGCACUGUAUUUUACACACCUGUACGGCACAAGCGUAACAGCUGCCCUAAGCUUAUCCUGUUAUUGUUAAGUGCCCUUUCGGGGAGAUGCCGUUACAUGCUUGGAGGACGAGAGGCCAAGUCAUCGAUCAUCGGCUGCGGCGGCCUUGCUUGACACACCAAGAACAUGGCGUGCCGUUACAGCUUUCCGAUCGGCCGGCUGGUCUGCUGUUCCUGUUAUUCCAUCGCAUGCAGAUCGAUUGAUGGGGAAGAGAAAUGAGAGAGAGAAGAACGCCACCAAGUGUGCAGCGACAGAUGGAAAAGCGCAGCGAUAUAUGGAAUAUGUGGUGAUCGGCUGCUGCGUACGGUGGCAGUCACAUGGACGAUGAAGCCUCAGACUUUGACAGGGAGAUUGCUAUAAGUUAUUAGUAUUCGUUUCGACUUUUCUAGAUGCAUAACUUUUGCUAUGCACCCACAUAUAUAUUAUAUCUAGACACGUAGCGAAUGCUAUGUAUCUAGAAAAACCAAAACGAAUAUCAUUUGAGGAAAAAACGGAUGGUCCAGAGAACAUGGUCUAGAUCAUAGAUAUGUUGAGCAAUAUGCUACUACUCUAGCUACUGCUACCGAUCGAUAGGGAAGUUGUUGUCAAGAAGUCCCUUAGUUCGUUCCAUCAGAACUUUUUUUUUGGCAUCAUACUGUGUACUUGGUAUUGAUCUGGAUCAGCAGGUUACUAAUGUCAUUGAGGCACAUUAAUUCCUAGUUAGUGGUUGAAUGAAGGGUCAUGCAGGAGGAGGCCAUGCAUUUGAAGAAGCACCGAAAUAUCUGCCCUAUGGAUCAAGCAGCAAAGAAGCACAAAGGGGAGACAUGCAUGAAAAGCGAGCAUGCAUCCGGCUGGCCCUGUUUCCUAAUGCCGCACCACUAAUCCUGCCCCAAAGAAAGAAAGAUGGAAAGAAGACGGCGGGUCUACCACACAGCACAGCCUGAAUUAACAACUGUUUAGCGAGCCUGAAGACUCUGAAAACGUGUCGCCCAGGGAGCAAAAGCGCAUUCAGUCAGGGAAUGUCGCGGUGACGGGGCAGGGCAGGUUCAAUUCCCUCGGGAUCAGCGCGCGUGAGAUUGCUCUUGAGCCUGCACGAUCAUUAGCAGCUACCUUAGCUGCCGCCUGCCGGUGCAGUGCAGGCCAUGGCCCCGGCUGAAUUGGCUUAGCUCAUCCCGUGUCUGUUUGACCUCCAUCCAUCUCAUCUCAUCUCAAAGCUGAUCGAUGAGGAACAAAAGGGGGGCCGGCGCCGGUAUGCGCGGAAUUAUUAUAGUCACUCGCCCGCGAGAAACAUGAUGCCGAGGCCAAGCAAAUUGCGCAACCGGCGGGGCCCUGUGUCCAUAAUCUUUUCCUAGCUAGCUAUCCCUUAGGUCUUUGAGGGUUCUGUUGCAUCUAGACACAUGUGUAUGGUCCCUAAACCAAAAAGGGCAUCAUUGUUUUCUUGCAGUGACGAUGCCAAUUGAAUACACAUAUCCUGAACUACCCCGGUUCAUGUUUCUCUAAGUACUAGUUUGUUAUUAGUCAAGUACACACCAAACACAUAAUUUUUUGCAGAGAGAAAAGACAACGUACAUGACUAGAAUAAGUUGUUCGAGGAGAAGAAAGAGGUGUGUGCUUUUCACAAACAGGCCGGGCACAGAAUUGCUAGGUAACAUCGCUGAUUUUUGCAACAAAUGUUGUACUAAUGAUUAAUGAACUCUUUCCGUUAAAAAGAAGGCAUUGAACUUGGUCCAAGAGAACUAAUUAAAAUCUGUCUCCUAGAAUUUUAGUCUCUGAAACAUGAAAAAAAAAGAAAGAAGAUAUGUACUAGUUCUGGAACUCUAGCCUUUGUGAAGUUGCAGAAAGGUAGGUUUUAUUACUGAAGAAAGGCACACCUUUGAACUUUCUUCGCUUUUGAACUUUCUUUGCUUGAACAAAAAGAAAAGAUCUAUAGAUAUAUGCGUGCCCUACCUUACCUUAAAGAAUUUUGACCAUCCUUAUUGCCUUUAUCAUCUAUAUAUAUGUGGUCUUGUUGAAUUAGAACACAUUUAUAAUGAUCAACAAUAAUCAACACUAGCUACUCCGUAGAUUUUCUUGACUCAGCUCAUGAUACCGUUAGUUAUAGUUGGAUUCUAGUGUAAAGUUGGUAAAGGCAUAUAGAAAGCUAUGGCACUGUUCAUAUUGACAAACUUUUACAAAUUCAAGUAAAUUGAAGAGGAUGAGGAAAAAAGGCUACACACAAAGCGCGCAAUUUAAUAUGUGAUUUUUUUUUCACUUUCACCACAUCAUUGUAAAUAUCUUUUCUUUGAUCAUGAGUUGAUCAGGAGCUAGCUAGCAAGCAAGCAAUGAGAACCGGAAUGAUGUGAGGGUUCCCAAAUUUGAUUCACUCUUAUCAAAGAAGAAUUUGUUGUUGCCCCUAACAGUGGUAGUAGGUGGCAUCAUACUUCGCACAACAUGUUUUGUAAUGCAUGCCUACGGCCCAGUGUUAUCGACAUCAUAAUUCCUCCUGAUCAUGCUUCUGGAAAUAUAAUCGAUUAAAUGCUAAUGGCUAAGGCUAACAUAUGCAAUUAGUCCCUCAUCAGUUUGGUGCAUGCUCUAAGGCUGACAGCACAAAUUUCUAGGUAGGACACAAAAUAAUAAUCACAAGGCCGAUUUGUAUUGCAUGACAACCAGAGAAGAAAAUUUCAAUCUCUCUGCCAAGUGAUGCGGCUGCCUGUUAUUAGCUAAUAACUUUAGGUCGGUAUGUGAUAUAUUUACAUCUGAUAAUAUAAUAAAAUUAACACCUUAAUUAAUAGAGUGAAAUUAAAUGCACUAGCUACAGGGUCCUCAGUUUUUUCUUAAACUCUCACCUAAGUCCGUAUAUAGAUUCUGAAAGUGAGGAUCCGGAUACUUCAAUUUUAAUUAAGUGGUUCGCUCCAAGUGAGAAUCGGGUCCGUAGUUUUAGACCUAGAUCGUGAACAACUCAACAAGAUUGGAUGGCCAAUGACAUGUAUCCUCAUUUUGAGAGUCUGUGAGCCUAAGCGAGAAUUCGGGAAAAGUUUAAGGACCCCAAGUGCAUUUAAUUUUUUCGCAUCUUUGCUUAAUUAAAAUGCAUCAAAUAAAUCAAAAUAUAAUUGCGGACCGAUUGAUCAGAAACCUAGCUAGUGCCAUGAUACCUGGACAACUGUACGGGGCCUGCAGCUCUCUACAGCCGAGUGCAUUUGUUCACCUGUCAUCCGGGCAGCAUGGUCCUAUACAAACAGCUGAAAGCACAGGGUGGUACCAUUUGUAAUACCAUAUGCACUUGAUUGCAACAAAACCAGACUUAGCCACAGAUGAAAAGCAUUUUUACAAUCAUGCAUCCAUGCCCCAUUUUUCCUGUGAAAGAAAAUGACGAAGAACCUAAAUAUAAUCACAGUCAUAAUUAAAGAUUAGUUAUAAACAGGUGUUUUAUGUUCUCUCUUGCAACAGGGUUAAAUCUAUGGACCUCAAUUAUUGCCAGUUCUUCAAAAAAGUUCGAGAGUCAUAGUUAAAUACCAUAGUUCACCGAUAUAUAGAUCAAGUAAUGAAAUCUGAAAUUAAGUAUAACAAUAGGCAGAACAAAGUACCAUCAUGCAUGCAUCUACGGAGCUCAAGCUCGAUGAUAUUCGGAGUAGCCCUAACUAGCUAGAUUAAACGUGGCUUGCAAGUAGCUAGCAAACUGGUGGCCGCUAACAGCUAAUUAGGCUUCGCUUUAGCAUGGCGAAGUCUGUCAGCAAGAUGCGAAGUAUAUGUCAGGCUCCAUUGAAGACAGGCUACUGCUAUCUAGGUUCUUUUGUUCUGUGAGACUGUACUGCAGCACAUGCAUGGACCAUGGAGAUCGAAGAGGCCAGAGCCAGAGAGAAAGAGGAAAGGGGAAGAAGAGUAGCAAAGAAGAAGAAGGCGUGAUGUCAUCAGCAGGGCCCACGUGGGCCCACAGGCCUUCAUUCCCCUCGCCCACGCGCGACGGAAAGGAGAGCGACCCCGUCCCUUUUUUAUACUCGCCACCUUCUCCCCCUCCUUUCUCCUUCAUUCUCUUCUAUACCUCUCCAGCACAAAGCUCUCCUCCUGAAGCUAUUUAUUCUUCCAAACACAAGCUAGCCAGCUUCCGAGAGAUCAAGAACACCUGCAUACACUCUUCCUCUGGCAAGAGCUCUGCGACUAACCGGUAUCGAUCAGUAGGUGAUCGAUCAUCGAAGGUGAGUUUCAAGGCUUGGAAUUCCUUGUACUGGUUAUGCAUGGUUUGGCUGAUCGAUCCGAUGAUGAGGCAUACGUUCAUGUUGAUGCGUUAGCUAGCUUGCCCGUUUAGUUUUGAUCUGGUUUUGUUUGAUCUUUUCUUUAAUUUCCUUCUGCUUGAAAUACUGUAACUGACAGCCGGUGUAUUUGAAUGAGAGAGAGGUGCCUUUUCUCCUCUACUUUUCCUCUUCACGAUCUCUUCAGUCUUCGAGAAUCCAGAGAUACACACCCAUCGGAGCCACAUUAACUUAUGUUACAUAUGGCGUGGUGUUGUAUAUCAUAUAUAUCUACAGAUCAAGGAGGCAUAUAUACAUCUUUGCCCCAUGAAUUGGUCCUCGUAGGAAUGGACAGAAAAAAAAAGUAAAGGGGUAGUAAGAGAAAAUACUUUGGUAAAAGUAACUACAGAUAUAUUUGUAUUUUUGGAAACAUUGAUUAAAAAUCAUAUUGUUAAAAUUGUUGAAUUUGCUUGUAGGCAUGCACACGUAUCCCUUUUACAAGCUAUAGUCAGAUGACAAAAUCAAUAUUGCUUAUCUUUACAUGCAUGUUUGCAUAUAGGAGUGCAUUCUGCUCCUUUUUUAUUUAAAAUAUUUUUUUCUUCAGCAUCCUGGUAUUACCUGCAUAAUAAGGAAAUGUAGUAAGGCCUUUUUAUGUGGUGGUGAAGCUAGCCAAAGUUUGUCUGUGAAAAUCAUCAGAACGUGUGUGAACGUCCUCCUGAUUGAGCCCAUGUACAAUCAUAUUUUCAUCUAUCUUCAGAAAACGCAUGAUGGAUAUGCUUAUAUCCGAAAAAAGCAUUUAGCAUGAUCAUACCUAUUCUUUAUCUGCUUUAUUUCACUUUUCGCAAAAAGAUAAAUGAAUGAUUAACUGCGAAUAAAAAUGUUUGUACAUUGCCAGCUGCACUUAGUUAGGUGGUCGAUCAAGCAUAAGUCUGAACUCUUAAUGUGGUUUUACUUGAAUCCAUAUUUUCUAGUGCUUCAGAAGAACGAUAGGUUUUGCAUAUACAUGAUUAUCUUGUGCAUAAUCUAAAGAUCUAUGCGUGACAUUAAUUUGAAAGUAAAAUGUGUGAUUUCAUUGCAUGUGUUUGGUACAAUAGGAAUGAUCGAUGCAGAAGGUAUCUGUAAACACAGCAUGUGUUUAUGAACCGAAAAAAUACAUAUAUAUGGGGGAGUACAAGUUAGCUAUAUACAGCCCAUUGGCCAUUGGGAAUCAAUUAACUGAAGCUUGUUCCUUCUGAGGCAUUCUAUACAUAGCUAUAGGACCACCAUCUCUCUCUCUCACACACACAUUGCAUCAUGUGUAAUAUAAAACCUUUUUGCUGAGGAUUUCAGCACCUAUAAGAUUGGUUCCAUCACUUCAUCUUUAUAUACUACCUUCAGCCAGAUUUAUCUUGUUUUUAUUAGGACAUGGGCACAAUCUCCUAUGCAAAACAUUCACCAUUAUUCUUUUGGCAAUAAGUUCAAAAAAUAAGUUAAAUUGCUACAGGUAGAUGACUUUUGAUUAAGAAUCCAUUAAUAUUACUUUUCAUGUGAGAAAUCUAAAAUGUUAGGGUAAAGUUCUAGGUGUGUAGUUAUGCUUAGAAUUGCCUGCCCUUUUGUUCAAAGACAUAACGUUACCAAAGGGAAUAUCAAUAGUUUUUAGCAAGACCUUUGAGGAACACAAGUAGGAUCUACACUAGUUUCUAGUCAUAGAAAUCUGCUGAGAGAAGAUAUAUAUGUGCAUUUUUUAUUCAGUUGUGGUGCUUUCACGGGCAUGUCAUGCAUCUCUUCUUAUCUCUAAUAUAAUAAACUCAAAUUUGUUAAUUUUUUAAAGAAUGAAGUCCCUAGUUCAUUUGUGCUUGGCUCAUAAGAUACCCCCUUCGAGGAUACUAUUUACAUAUUUUCUCUAGAAAUUGACAUGCAGUAUAAAUUCCUGCAUUUUAGAACAUGAACUAAUUAGGGGCCGUUUGGGAGGGCUUCUCCCAUAACGGCUUCACCAAUGAAGUCAAAGCCGGUGAAGCUAAAAAUAGUGGCUUCACCCAGCUUCUAAUUCAUUUUGGCCUCAGCUUACAAAAUGGCUUUACGCUACAGUGCAUUGUUUUGUGCAAAACUGGUGAAGUCGAAGCCAAAAUAAACUCUCCAAAACGGGGCCUUAAACAAAUAUGGUAGUUAUACAGUGAACAACCUUUUUUACUUAUGAUUUCUCUAGUGGGGCAGGAAAUAUGGAAGGAGAUCCACUAGUGAUGACUGAAUGGAAAGUUAUCUCCCCCUCUCAUGCAGUCAUAUGCAUGCAGCAGCAAGGCAUGCACUUGCACCCCACAAGAGGCCAAAGGGGGAACAUCAAAAAUGAUUUACUCCCCAUCACCCAUGGCUUGGACCUAGCUAGCUAGCUUCUCCUCUGCCCCCCUCCAUCCAUGAUCCAUCCUACACUACGGUGAGGUGCACUACAGACAGCAGCUGCCAUUCCUGCGUGCCCCAUGAGCCAGUCACACACAUUGCAUUGCUCCUCUCUCCCAGCAGGGCCGAGAAUGAAGGCCAUGUUUCUAUCUCUACUAGUAUGGUGGCACAGCAAAUAUAGGCUCAUGUAGGCAGGCCGCAAACGGGGUGGUCUCCUCCUGCUGUAGUGCUGUGCCAUGGAAUUCCUCGACAAAGAGACAACGCGGUCAGAGGCCGUGUGGGCCCGGCUGCUGCCUACCUUUUCCUCGUCUGUGCAUGCCUGCCUGCCUCCUGUUACUAGCUCUGUGACUGUGAGUGUUUGUGUUGCCUCGCGCGCCCGGCGGAGGCCUGAUCAGUAGCUUUAUUUGCAGGCCAGCCUGAUCCAAGAAAAGGGCCGCCCUUCCUCACGUUUCUAUUCUCUAUCUUUUUCUCCCAGCCCCACCCAUCUUAUCCAUGUUUUUUCUAACCACCACGACGACCGGCGGCGGCAGGCAUGCAAGCGCGUGCAUGAGCUAGCUCCCGGCCGCCCGGCAAAAACUAGCAAAUGCCAUCAGCUUUUGUUAUUUCUACUACUACAGCAUUUUGUGCAAAAGCUUUUGCUAGGCUUACCAUCAUCCAUCUCAAAAGAACAUGCAUUAUGGUCGAUCAGCAUGACAAGGGGAUCAUUAGCAGUUCCUAACUAACCUAUUAGCAAGUUCAGAACUAUUAUGUGCCCUAAUUAUAAUCUCUAGCUUCAGGCUCACAGAUUCUCGGCUGGACGUACACAUUGAAAUCACUUGCUCACUGACUGCAAGUUGCACCGGAGCGAGGCCUGGCCAGACCACGCAUCCUGCGGCUGCAGUGGCGCUAUGAUUCACUGCUCACCAUAGCCCACAUGCCCCCUGAUUCCACAGUCGACACCAUGAUUCGCAGGCCUGUAGCUUACCUACAUUUGUCCCUGUGCCCUGCCCCAGGCUUUGCCGUACCUUGUCCUAUAUCCUACUACAGUGCACAGUGCAGUCCCAACAGGCAUGGCUCAAGGCUGUUUGGCUGGACUGUAUUUUUCUAAAGCACUGAAACCCACACACACUACAACACUACUGCCUCUUCAGUCCAGUCUGUCUCUGUCUCUACAGCAGUACUGCAUGCCACACUCAUUCACUGUAAAAUACUCCUGCGAGCACUUGCUGUUCCUUCCCACUAUAAAGAAUGCAGGCUCGCUCCCAUCGAAUGAUGCGAGCACUUGCCGUCUUCUUUCUUUAUAUUAGGAGUAGAGCAUGCCACUCGCGAGCUAUAUCAUUUGCAUUGCAUUGGGUGGAUGGAUAUUUAGGGGCUGAGCGAGGCGACGCUGAAUCUGAUGCGCUCUCAUCCUCAGGUGCUGCUAGUGGUGGUGAUCAUAUGGACUCCAUGGAAUCAUGCGUGCCCCCUGGCUUCAGGUUCCACCCCACCGACGAGGAGCUCGUCGGCUACUACCUCAGGAAGAAGGUGGCCUCCCAGAAGAUCGACCUCGACGUCAUACGCGACAUCGAUCUCUACCGCAUCGAGCCCUGGGAUCUCCAAGGUAUACUACGUCAUGAUGCAUUAUGUGCUUGGAGUUAGCAAGCUCCCUUUUUGCUUGCAUUAUGGAAGCUGAUAUUAAUUCUGUGCCUAUAUUUUCCUGCAAAUUAAUGAAGAACAUUGCGGGAUCGGGUACGAGGAGCAGAACGAGUGGUACUUCUUCAGCUACAAGGACCGCAAGUACCCGACGGGGACAAGGACCAAUAGGGCCACCAUGGCCGGGUUCUGGAAGGCCACGGGGAGGGACAAGGCUGUGCACGACAAGAGCCGGCUCAUCGGCAUGAGGAAGACGCUCGUCUUCUACAAGGGCAGGGCGCCCAAUGGGCAGAAGACCGACUGGAUCAUGCACGAGUACCGGCUCGAGACCGACGAGAAUGCGCCGCCACAGGCAAGCUCCCCCUCAUGAUCUCCGUGAUGAUCUACGUUAAUUUACCCUCACAGCAUAGAUGCACUAACCACUAAGCAUACUCUUUUCUUUAUAUUCCACUACUCCAAAUUCACAAGUCAAAGAGUACUGGUGCAUUAUUAUUGCCUACAGUGGAUACUUCUCCACUUUCAAGCAGAUUAUAUUGCCCACAGUUGAUAUUCUUCUACGCUCACGACAUCUAAUAAUAACUUGAUUUUGGUUAAUAAGUUAUAACACAUCUUAAUUUAGUUACCAUCUUUGUUUAGCUUACUGCAACCACCUUGUUGAGUUCUUUACCUUAAUAUAAACAUGUGUAACGCAGCAGGAGAUUAGCAAUAUGUUAAAAGCUAAUGUCUCAAUUGUAGAGACCAAGAGAUCUCGCUCUAAAGUAGUGCGCAUAAAUGAAGCUAGUCCAAGAUGCACGCGUGCAUGUCUAACUCAUGCAGCACUACUGAUGGACAAUACAAUGCAUCAGUAGCAAAGCACCACAGAUGCUCCUCCUAUUGCUUUCUAGAUCUCACAAGAUAAGUCUCCCUUUUUGUGAGACUUGACCCUUGAAACUUCCAAACACUUCUACUCUUCUGACCUCACCACUAACAAAAACUUUUCCUAUAGAAAUGCAUGCGCAUGCAUGUUCUAGUUAGGGUUUACCAGUGUGAACGUUCUUGCACGCGCCAUUGUUUGCGAGCUGUAUGCAACUAGCUAGAUACUGCUUGUACUCAUCACAGUGCCGGUAAUGCUUCAGCACUCCACUAUCAACCAGUGGAGAUAGCCAGAUAGGCAAAGGCAAAUGGCCGGUUACCUUUUUUUUAACUCCUUUCACUGCUUUGAAAAUCUCACUUCACAUAUAACUAAAAUAAUUUUCAUCUUUCACUAUUUUGCAAAUCUCAUUUCACAUCUAAUUAACAAGAUGAUUUUCUUCUGUGCUGCAGGAAGAAGGCUGGGUGGUGUGCAGGGCGUUCAAGAAGAGGACAGCAUACCCGGCACGCAGCAUGGCGAUGGCAUGGGAGUCCAGCUACUCCUACCGCGAGGUCGGCGUCAUGGGCGCGGAGGCCGCAGAGGCGGCGGCGUUCGUGGAUCCCAACUCGGCUUACGCGCAGAUCAGGCGGCAGUCCAAGAGCGCGCGCUUCAAGCAGGAGGCCGAGCUCGACGGCGCCGCCGUGUUGCUGCAGUACUCCAGCCACCUGGUCGAGCUGCCGCAGCUCGAGAGCCCGUCGGCGCCGCUCGCGCCCAACCCAAGCCAAGCGUCGUCGGCCGAUGAGGUGGACGGCGCCGAAAGCGGCAGGCGGGGCAAGAAGGCGCGGGCCGACAAGGUAGCCACGGACUGGAGGGCGCUCGACAAGUUCGUCGCGUCGCAGCUCAGUCCCACGGAGUGCGGCGGCAGCUUGGAGGCGACGGCGCCGGCGGCCGCCAUGGCCAAUGUGGGCUUGGAGCACGGUGAGGAUGAUGACAUGGCGGCGUUGCUGUUCCUCAACAGCGACGGGAGGGAGGAGGCGGAGAGGUGGAAGGGGCUGCUCGGCCCCGCCGGCGGGGACGGCGACUUUGGACUCUGCGUGUUCGAGAAAUGAGUGGCGGGCGGCGGCGCGCCGUGCGCGUGCGCGUGUGCACGCUGCGGCGCGGAUGCAUGCAUAUGGGGAUGGUGCAUGUGAUAUAUUAUAUGGUUAUAGCUGAAAGUUAUUGGUGCUCCUUUUCCUUUCUUUUCUUCUACUUCCAUUUUGUAUGUUUCUGAUCAACAAAUGUGAUUGUAAUGUUCAUCUGUCUCUGUGCAGAGUCAUAAGAUGCAUGGCAUUCCGGCCGAUGUGAUUGUCUUUUGGUUGAUGUGACCUAACAUGCGUGUAGCACUUCUCGUUUGUCAAUGGCUUCGUCACCAGCUACGGCAUAGACAUAGUAUAGUAUCGUACACAAUAGUCUUCGCCAGGUACGUAGCUUGAAUACGUCGAGCAAGAAAAAAUGCUUAACAGUUUCAGUGCAUAUACAAUAAUCCGCAUUCUGAAUAGUAACAGUAUAGGUUCCAACCAUAAAACCAAAAAGGAAAACAACAGGCAAACCAAUAUAAUAGGGGAAAUAAUGGAACAACUUUUUUAAUUAAGAAAAUAUAUUUAUAUCUUGGAGGGAAAUGCAAUAGACUCCUUAAAAUUUUAUUGAUUCUGACUUACAGAUUCAUAGAGUCUGAAAAUGAGGACCGUGUCCUUAAUCUUUUCCAGUGGUUCAUCUCCAAGUGAGAAUAUAGGUUCUUAUAAACUUUUAAAAUGAGAGAGAAUCCAGAUUCUCACUGGAGUGAAUUACUAGCAGUUUAAUGACCCAUAUCCUUAGUUUAGUUUGUGGACCUAGUUAAGAAUCCAGACAGCACAUUUCACUCUUUAACUUGUCACCAUGGCUAAAGACAAGAUCUCUCAACUUAGAAGGCGAAAACAGUGUGUGGAAAGAGUACAAUAGUUGCAGUUCAGGAUUCCAUGCUCAAACUAUCCAUGAGCAAGUAUAACUGUGAAGAUUAUUCGUGUCAAGAGCGGAGCAGUAUUUGCCCCUGAUAGACAUUCCAAAUAUGGCAAUAUCGAUCUAUGGUCUUAAAUGAGUGCAGUUACAAACUUUGAACAACAUUUUUCAACAGAGAUAUCGUACAUGAUACAUGGCUCAAAGAUAGUCCAUAUGUUUUCUUAUGUAAAUAUAUACUCCCUCUGUUCCUUAAUAACUGUCGCUUGAGAAGUGUGCUGCCCUUACAAUCACGCUUCCCAAGCGAUAGAUAAAAAGGGACGGAGGGAGUAGACCUCAAAGCGAUGCAUGACAUAGUAUGUCUCAAAAGGUUUCUUAAAAAAAAAGUGUCUCAAAGGAGCGUUACCUGGAAGAACAUCUCAAAUGAACGCCUGAUGAAUCUGUGCAUCCAAACUCCGGAGUGACAUGUUCAAGACAUCGCGUACAGUGCGUACAUACAGAUGCUUCCUUGCAACCUUCUUUCAAUAAUCCAACAAGCAGCUAGUGAUUGCAAACGAGAAUAAUCAAGAAGACUGGUGAUAGAAGAAAAUAUUUCAGGUUAGCAUUAGUUCAGGAUCGGAGGUGCGUAGCAAAUAAAUGAAAUGCCUCAUUCCUGAUGCAGGCCUGUUCUUCACCGAAGACUGAAUUUCAUAAACGAUCAAGGGAUCGAAGAUUAGGAAGAAUCCAAACACCAGCAGAGCCCAGCGCGGUGGCGCGGGCGUGGGCAGACUGGGGACGAUGCCAACCGCCCGGCGGCCGGCUUCGCCGAAGCGGUUAGGGCAUCCGAGUCACGACCAGCAUAUGUAUAUGGGCCUUGGUGACAAAGCCAGAAGAGGCCAUACUAACAUUUAGGAGAGCCCAUGUACUGUGUGGGCUUAUUCGGCCUGGUAAUAAAGCCCGCUUCCCAAUUUGGGGCUCCUCAGCCCAGUUGUGUUCCCUGGCCGUCUACGGCCGGCUGCCGCCGGUUCCACCAUCGGUCCAGCAAAUCAGAGAUUCAGAGGAGGAGCGGAUCCCCGGUGAGGUGGAGGGAUGGCGAACGGCGGCGGCUACGGGUGGGCCCUCGCGGCGGGCUUCAACGCCGCGCUCGCCGCCAUCUCCGCCAAGUUCUUCGCUACUCUGGUACCGCGACACCAACCUACCCCCUCCUCAUCCCUCUCUACCGCUCGCUCUCCCUAUAUGAUCUGAGAUUCCUUUCCUGUGUCGGCUUCGGAGCUUCGGGCUAGUCAAUUUAUUUUGAUGCUGAGUUCAUGGUCACGAACUACUUGCUUACGUCCGGAAGUGUUUGCUGGAGAAUUUGACUUUAGAUUUUGACCCUCUUUGUUUGAUGAACACAAAUGGGAUCACAUGCAGAAACUAGGCGCUGACAUCAUGGACAUGUUUCAAAAGUGGAAUUAAACGCUAUUAUGAUGCGCUGGAGUAUUAAUACGCAAUUCGUGAAGAACGCCUCACUAGUUUAUACUUUAUAUAUACCUACCCAAGACCUUAGGGGUUCAGUCCCAGCAGGUUGAAUAACCAUUGUAAGCUAAAGCUGGUACAAUCAUCAAAAACCGAAAGGAAGAAUUCCUCACAUAGCACUAUCAACUUUGUUGCUGAAGUUUUUCUUGAACAAGAGAUGGGAAAUACUAUCCAUCCAAUAAAAAGGGAAAAAACAAUCAUCUGCCUUCUUUCUUAAGGGGAAAAGAACUCUUUCUUACUGAUGUGCCUGGGGUUUCAGUUCCCUGCUUCAUGGCACAAUUUACACUGUCACUUACUCUGAUCUCGUUUAACACAGCUGAUCAAAUAUGGCAUGGUGAUACUUUUCAACGUCACAAUGUGGGGGUGUUAUGUCAACAGCCUCAAAGCUUUGUCGUCCCUCCAGGCAACAGUCACAAACUUUGCUGCGAACUUCAUCUCAUCGGGGCUUGCAGGGUAUUUCCUGUUUCAUGAGCCCCUGCCUUCUAAGGUAACAUGGGAACUCUCCAUUUUCUGCAGUGCAUCAUAAGGAUCAUCAUAUCUCCAUUUAUUUGUUCUAUUUAUGGUCUCUGUCAAGAUUUCCAAUUGCCAUCCCGAAUUGCUUCUUUUAUGGUAUAGGAGUUACUGUAUCCCAGAUGAGGUGGAGACUGAUAAGAAUGUUCAGGAACCCCUAAACAGCAUACAAAAAAUCAGAUGCCAUGGAGUUUGCAGCAUUUCAUCUUGUUUGGCUUUUUUUGCCUUAUGUUUAACCAUGCAAAUUUGUAAUUAACUUGGUUCUUCCUCAUAGUCAAAGAAAGCCUUUCCGUAUUGCCUUCCUGGUAUAUGUGAUGAGUCACAUAAUGAAAGAGAUGUCCAAUUCCGUUGGUAUUUUGAUAUGUACAACUAAUUCAUAUGGAAGAAAUAAUAACACAUUGGAAUAAUAAAUUGCUGCACAUUGGUGCAUCAGCAUGGGAUACUGCCCAUGGCAGGUGGCUUCUGGUCACGAGUCAUCAAUAUAUAACAUCAUCCUCUACAUCUGUAUGUGAAAUACUACAUGAUCUAUAUCAAUUAAGCCUUGCCAGUAUCAACAAACUAACUAGGGUAAUACUCAAUGCAAUUUGAUUUUUUUAUUGAUCCUUAUAACAUGUUCCCUUAAAUUGACAUGGUUGUUUCGAGAUUAUUUUGUAUUGCUCUUAAGACUGCUUUUUUGACAUGGAGAUGUGUUUAUGCAGUGGUUUGCAGGCGCCGGUCUGAUCAUUCUUGGUGUGUUUAUCCUCAGCAAAUCAAGCAUUGAGGAGAAACAGAACUCGGAUUAGGAGGAAGUUUUGACCUGUAGUGUUAGUUGUAACAUAAGUUGAGCCUGCUUAUUCUUGUUGUAUGUUCCCAUGGUAUCUUUGUCCAUCCUAAUGGGAUGAGAAAUGGAACCAUGACUUUGUCAUUCGGUUAAUACAAUGUCCCUAUUAUGUUCUUCAAGGUGCCACUUGAACUCAGCUCUUUCAUAACUAUGAAGAAAGUCCAGCUCCUUUACUAACGGAGACAGUGCUGCUGCAUUGAGAUUUACCACUGUCAUUGUAUCUAUAUGGUGGUUUGCUUUUAUUUUGAUUCCAAUGUGAGACAAAUCAAGCUGUGGUAGUAUAGUAUCAUCCGCAGGAGUUUGUCAUCUUUCCCCGGGUGAAUUUUGGCAUGUCAGUUGAAGUGAUCUCUUAACUGUUUUCAGACACCGACAAUCAUGCCGGAGCUGCCACAGGCGAUGAUGUGCAGGCAACCACGGCCAGACGUUCAUGUGGUCAGUGCCUGCUCGGUGCUUCCACGCGAACGGUAUCUGCGGCAAGAGAAGUGCAGAUCAAUUGGGCUUUCGACAAGUCGACUAGAACCGAGCCAGUGCGCAAUAGCGUGGAAAGACUUUUACCCGUCAAGGAAACCUCUCGAGGAGCUUUCAUUGCCCCGAUCUUCACUUUAUAAAAAAGUAAUGUAGGUUAAUAGCAUGUGAGUCGAAGUAGGCAGCAGCCUGCUGGUUUUAGGCGCCGUUAGGGAGGGUUUAUUUCAGCUUUGGCUUCACCUGUUUUAUGCAAAAUAAAGCAAUAUAGCGUGAAGCCAUUUUAUAAGCCGAGGUUAAAAUGAACUGUAAGCCAGGUGAAACCACUAUUUUUUACUUCUCUGGCUUUGACUUGGUUUUGACUUCACUGGUGAAGCCGUUUUGGGAGAAAUCUUUCCAAACAGAACCUUAACAGUGAACUUAUGGUAGGAACCUAGCAUGCUACAAAGAACGGCAGAUACCAUGCUCGUCUCUGCUUCAUCUCCACUUGUGCACAUCUUGGUGAUAGGUGAAAAGCACGCGUUAUCAGAUGACUUUCAGGUUGCCGUUUCUUCUGAUCCGUCAGUUGGAGGAGCCAGUGAGCAACCGCCAUGAUUUGCCACGGAUGAAUUUAUGUGGUUAGGCCGCCAUCAAUCAGCGUACGAGUUAAUCAGGCGGCAGGGACGUCCAGCAGCCGGGAGGCAAAGAAAGAAGGUCCAAGAGGAGGGUCGGAACCGUCGUCCUCAGGCUGAUCUGAGUGGCCGCAACAAUGUGCGCGUUCGUUCCCGUGCUCUCACAUCGAUUUGAGUCCUCACCUGAAAUAUUCCCGUGCCAGCAGUUUCUGUUGCUGAAACCGCCAAUGGCAGAGGAGGGAAAUGGUGGGCCGCCCCGCCAUAGAAGAUAGAACAGGAGCACGAGCGUCGUGAGCCCUACUCCGAGCAGCUUUUGGCAAGAUGAUGGGCACCUGUGAACAGAUGUAACGCAACUCAUGAGUCGGCAUCAGUGGUGGUUCGUGCUAGCCAGAGAGCAAAUAUUCCUAGGCGAACGGGGUAGGACCGGCUGGAGACGACGACGGGAGCUUCUUGGGUUCUAGAGUUCUAAUCCUGACUUGUCUUGAUUCCGAGCUUGGAGGGUAGCCUCUGAGCUGAGGGACCCGCGCAGCAUUGUGGUAGGAGUAUCUUGUUCUAUCCUAGGUUCAAUAAUGCUAGAUUGCUAGUGGCAGUGUUUCUUGAACUGAUGGAUGGACACUCCAAAGUGCAAUUUGUGCGUUCACAGUGAUGAUCUCCAAUUUAGCUAGUGCACUUGUUAAGCGCAAGAAAUUCACAGGCUCUUGUUGUCUGUAGAACAAUACACUCCUGCAUAAGGAAUGAAGCGAGGAAGAACAACCAUUACCUGACAAAACAACACGGACGCAGAACAAGUCCGGAACACGAGCGCGCGCUUCCUUGAAUCCUUCCAGGUUCCAGGACCCACCACGUGCUGAGGAAGGCGCGAACUCUGCGCUGCGUGGCACACUGGCACAACAAGCUCAAGUACACCGAACUGCGUCACACAGUUCCCCUCCGUGCUCUGUCGUUUCACGUAGUACGCGACACGAUACGACGAAACGCCCCGUCCGAGCCGUGCUCUCGGGGCAGGGGGCACGCCGGCAUGUCAUCCUUGUCCGCCUCGCCGGCAGAAGCCUCUCCUCUGUCAUCCGGAGCAACCGAACCAAAGAUUAGCUGGCUGGAUGAGGUGGUGGGCGAGUUCAAAGCUGGCUGUGAUCUGACGUGGAUGGAGGAAAACCCCGGUGGCGCGUCGCGUGACCGCGUGAGGCCUGGCCUGGGGUUGGCGUCACCAGAUAAGCCCGCCCACAUGACCCCCUCCCCAGCAGCCUUCAAUUCCCUUUCCCCGCGUACUCCCCACUCCUACUGUAUAUUCACUUGGCGCCCGCCAGUCGCCCACGGGCCCAGCAAGCAGCGCGAGCUCACUCCACCUGCACCUUCACGUAGCAGGCCGGCCUCGGCCCCGUCGUCAUGGCGCAGCGAGAGGGGGCGCCCAAGGCGGCCGUCGGCGGUGGAGGGAGGAGGCCUGAUGGCGGCCUCGUCGCCCUGGAGAUGGGCGGCGCCGGAGGGGAGCGGGCGGCGGAGCGAGAAGGGAGGGCGGCGUGGGCGGCCGCGGCGGGCGUCGCGGGGGUGGGGCUGGCGGGGGCCGGCGUGCUGGUGUGGUGGGCGGUGGCGUUCCACCCGUCGCACCAGCAGCUCUGGAUGGUGCCCGUCGGCCUCGUCCUCCUCGGCACGCCGCUCGUCGCCUGGCUCUCCCUCUUCGCCUCCGGCGCCGGCCGCUGGCUCGGCGGCCUCCGCGCCGGCGCCGACCGACCGCCCGUCGCCCCCACCGUCGUCCCGGAGAGAUGAUCAGCGCGUGCGCGGCCGCCGGCGUGCAUGCAGAUUUGAGUAUGUAGAGCAGGACCUUGGACUCAUCGGUGUACAGUUUUCUUCCCCGUCUUUCUUUCGUUCUUGUCAUGGCCGUCGGAGUGUGAAUCGGAAUCGGAACAGCAGUUUGGUAGCAGCACUACGGAAGUUUUAACUGAUUUGCAUAUGCUUUGCUUGAUGAUUUGGUUGGUUGGUUGGCAGGCCGUUUCAGAACGCGGGAUUCCCAUUCGGAUACAAUUUCCACAUGGAUUUGAGUUUGCCAUGUAGUAGUAAAAUGAAGUGUAUUACUGAUUACUACUUACAUUUGGGGGCUCAAUUUUAGACCACCCAGCACUGUCAGACUCUGGUAGAGAGAGAAAAAAUGUGAAAAUGAUCUCGGUACUUGUAAUGCUGAUGUGCUUCGCAAUAAAUUGAACGAGCCAGUAGCUUGCACCAUUGAUUUUUGGAACCCGAAAUGUCACGGGAAGGGAAGUGUUGCGCGGCUCUUUGAUUGUAUCUAGCGUGACACCUUGGAAUGGACGUCUUGGGCAUCGUAGAUCAUGAUAGCCGAGGCAAGUGGACCGACGGCGAGAGGUUCAGCUGCCGGACGGGCCCUCUUCAUAUUCUUUAUGCUACAACUAGUAUACUCCUAGUAGCAGGAGUGAGCACUUAGCAGACGCAGGUAACGUUUGGAUACUAGGUUAAACUUUAGCCCUAUCACAUCGAAUAUUCAGACGCUAAUUAGUAGGACUAAAUCUGAGCUAAUUACAAAACUAAUAGUAUAACUCCUAAGCUAAAUCGCGAGACGAAUCUAUUAAGCCUAAUUAAUCCAUCAUUAGCGAAUGGUUACUGUAGCACCACGUUGUCAAAUCAUGGACUAAUUAGGCUUAAUAGAUUCGUCUCGCGAUUUAGCCUAGGAGUUGUACAGUUAGUUUUGUAAUUAGCCUAUGUUUAAUACUCCUAAUUAGUGUCAAACAUCCGAUGUAACAGAGGUUAAAGUUUAGCCCCUAUCUCCCAAACACCCCUGCAGGCAAGAUGGCUACCUGUGUCUCCGGUAAUCUUGCUUGCUCCAUCGAUGGCUCUCAACAACAAGAAAAAAUUAGAUGGGGACGGUCCCAAAAUCCUCACCAUGAGGUCCUGCCCUCGAUUUCUGCCGCGUGGCCACCCAAGCGGAUCGACACCUCAGCGACCACAACGCUCGUACUCGGCUCAACGCAUGCAGCUCAGGUGCUCGUCUCGAAGUGGACGGCUCAGUUCCUUCUUCCCUGUCGAGAGCCGCUGCCACAUCUGUUCCGCAAGUUGUCACCUCCAGCAUCCUACGCCGCCAUCGCCGUCCUGCCGUGGUCCACCUCAGUCCCCUCGUCCGACCAAUCUCCCGUCAAUCUCUCUCAUCCUCUGCUGCUGUCGCAUCCGUCGUCCUCCACCACGGCUGUCGUAGUACGCCGAAGUCGCCUUGCCCACUGGCGCCCCCUACGACCGCCUCGUCCUCCUCUGCCGUCGCCUCCGCCGUCCAGUGCCGUCGCCGCCUCCAGCUUCACAUGAUGGGAUGCCUCGAGUAUGACAUGCAAACACAUUUUUCUCUCUAGCGUACUGUGUCUCCUCUGGCCUGACGUAUCCCAUGAAAACGGAUGAAGAUGAACAUGAAUUUUCACCUUGAUCGGGGUGUUGGAGCUAGCUAGUACCAUGACCGAACUAAAUGUCUUAUUUGCAUUAGUGGCUGUGAUUCAUAAGUCCGCCGCAUUAGCCGUCGUUCGCCGCCUCUGCACCGUCAUCCGCUGCCGUCGUCUCCGUCAUCCACUGCCGCCGCUGCAAUUUCGAGCCAGAGCCGUGGCCUGAGCCGAGCCAGCGGCUGUUGGAGAGAGCCGAGCGAGCGAGCCUGCGUUCCCUGCGAACGAGCGCGCGAGCCUGCGUUGCCCUGCGAACGAGGGCGCGAGCGUCGAUGCGGUCGGGUGGUCACGCGGCAGAAAUCGAGAGCAGGUCCUCACGGUGAGGUCUUUGCCGACCGUCCCCACCGAAUUUUUUUUUUCCUCAACAACAGUCGUUGAUCGCCUUCCAUCGUGCAGGCCUUGGCGAUAACUUCGAUUCCGGCGGCAUCCCCGGCCCACCAAGCCGCUAAACUCUCUGCCUCUAGCUCUGUUGUGGUGCGCGUACGUCUGCCUGGUCCACAUGUCACACGCACACUCACCGGACGUCAUUUCAUUCGAAUGUUCGAUCUCGGAUUAUGGAAGGAUUUGGACGGAAAGUUUUGUGCGGUUCAGCUGCGAUGCUAGACUCCGACGACCAAGCAAUUGGGAGCACAGCGAGUCCGGGUGUCACGGUGGGAAGAGAUGGCCGGAAUUCUUGUACAGUGAGCGAGACGUGGACUGCGCUCCCUAAUCAUCCUAGUAUGUUGGGGAAUUUGGAAUGGAAAGAGAGAAAUGCAAAGAAAACGUAAACCACAUAGUAAUAAUCGAAAAGAUCAGAGACGAAGCGAAUUUGUAGGUUACGGCCGGGAGCAAAGCGUCUAUGGACACUGGUUGAUGACUUCCGAUCGUAUGACCCUCCUGUGAUUACCGCGGCAUAGUUAGCAAGAAGAAGAAGAAGCUGGGAUCUUGACAUGCACCCGAUGGUCGCUACCUGUGCUGCGAGUUGUGUACUGUAUGGCGCGUGAGAUCAGAAUCGGAUGAGGAAAACUGCUGCAUCGAUGGGAGCUGAGCACAGAAUGGGCAUCUCAUUCUGUCAAAGCUUAGUCAGAGAAGAGCGGCGGUUAGGUUCGGCUCUGCUGCUGCAUGUGUAGUUCAUAAGCAGACAACCGAGAAGGAAUCUGGUGAUCUCAAGCACCCAACUUCCACUUGAUGAUACUACAAGUAUUCUCCACUUGACAUCACUAUGAUCAUCAACUAGCGCGUAUGGUCCUGGUGCGGGCGGUUCAUGUGUUGCAGCCGGGGUUGAGGACCUUCAGGUGUGGAGGUGGAGCAUCUUCUUCCUCUGAAGCUAAGCUAGGACAUGUCUGCGUCACUCACCUACCUCUCUAGCGUAGCAGAGUAUUCAUUCGGUUCCCAUGUUUGUUUGUUGCGUCCCCUCUUUCUUGGGAUGAUGACACUGCACACUGCCGUCGGAAAUGGAAGCAGCAAUGGCCUCUGCGGGUUCCGAUGCCUCUGGCAGUCUGGCUACUCACUCCGAAGUCCAAAUGGAAGCCGCUCCGGUUUCGAGUUACGAUGACGCUGCCUGCCUGCAAUCACGCAAGCCAGCGAUCAGACGGAGACGGAGGUGGCAUGCUGCAUGCACUAAUUGACAAGUUCGGUGGAAGGCUACCAGGAUGGAAAGGAAAAAUAUUAUUAUCGGCUGGGAGAGAAACAAUAGUACAACGUGUGUUAACAUCACAAUUAAUCUUACUAUUACUAAUUGGAGGUUUCUUCUGAAGCCCGAAGCCAUCUAGGAUCCUAGGUGGACACUAAAGAAAUCCUAAAAAUUCUCUCAAAAAAGCAAAACAUCUAGCCAUCAAUUCAGUAGAUUAAAAUCAUAAUAACCAUUAGAUCUAUUAUAUUUUCUAAAAAAUUACCAACCUCUGUCAUUAUGAAAAUAGCAUAAAGUAACCCCUAGAUUCAUAUCUAAAUUACCCACCUCUGCCAUUAUAAUAAUUAACUAAAGUAACCUCGAAUCUUCAUCUAAAUUACUCACUUAUACUGUAAUAAAAAAAUAAAAUAACUCCCUAAAUUUGCAUUAAAAUUGCCCCCCACUAACAUUAUAAAAAGCAAUAGUCCAAUUACCAUAUGAGGGAGGAGUUUUAAAACAAAAUCACAGCCAUUGAUUUAAUUAAAAUAAAUCAAAAAUAGAUAAAAUCACGAUAAUCACACAGCUGCCUCUCACGCACGGAGAUAAACUAGCGCCGGCCAUCUCCGAUCGUGGCAAUCCUGCAGUUCCUCGCGCGCGGAGAAAAAACAUCGGCAUCUCAGAUAGCAAGUAAUUGAUGACAGGCUCACGUCACGUUGCAUCGGGGAAAACAUGCAACUUACCUCAUGAGGAAAAACAGAUAGCUAGAUCUAAUUGAUUAUAUUUUGACUAAAUUUCUAUUUUCUAAACUAUAUAAGUAUCGGGUUAGCAUAUUUAACAAAUGAGAGAAAAUUCAAGGUAACAAUUUUGAUUAUUAGCUAUGUGUUUCAAUUGGAUACUCCGCGUUAAUUUUCACAAGACACGUUAGGAAAUUCUCACAAAAAUAAAAAAUAUGGAGUAUCAAUCAUGUAGACUCUAACAACCAUAUCCAUUGAUCUAUUAUAUUUUCUAAAAAAUAUUACCCACCGCUAGCUAUCAUUAUGAAAACAUUCGAAAUUAAACCCUAAGCCGAUAUCUAAAUUACCCACCUCCUCGUUAUAAAAUUUUAAAGUAAUCCAUAAUAUUCAUCUAAAUUAUCCAUACAUAUUAUCAGAAAUUUUUUUAAAAUAUCCUUCUAAAUUUGUAUUUAAAAUAUCCAUGUAUAUCGUUAUUAAAAAUAACAUGAAGUAAGCAUAUAAAUCUUAAUCCGAUUGUGUGCAUGUUCAUUGUACAUAAAUGUUCAAAAGUAAAUAAAUAUAUGAUUCUAAAUUACCUAUGUAUAUCGUUAUUGAUAUAGAAUUACUAAGUAAAGGUAUAUAUGCCUGAUGUGUGUCACCAUGUAGACCGUUUAUUCAUGUACGGGAGGAAGUGAUGAAAAUUAUUGAUUCUAAUGUUAAACACAAUGUAUGGAGAUGCAUUGUAAAGUGAAAAAAGUAUGAAUUUGGAUGAAAAAGUUUAUAGAGUAUUAUUAAUUAAAGUCAAUCAAAACUGGAGUAUUGUGUUAGAAUAUUAAAAAAAAUGAGAGAGUCAUAGAUAAACAAUUUUGAUUAUUAGCUAGGGAAUCUAAUUUUUAAAUAACUUUAGAAUGCAAUAAUUUUUAAAAAUUUUAGCCCGUGCAGGAGCACGGGUUGAUGAACUAGUAUAUCACUUAACAGUGUUCCCGGCACAAAAAUGACUGAUCAAGUAGAUUGAUCGACUGUGACGGGUAGGGUACCCUCAGGCAAGGGGCUAAGGCAACCAGGUACCAAAAAGCCAAAGGCCUAACAGCUAGAAGCAUUCUGGAAGCGGCGCAGACGAUGUUGCGGCCCACCACCCAACCUUCCUUGGUCGAAAGAUAAGAGCCACGACUCGCUGGCUCAGCCAGCUCGGGGGCGGGGUUGACUCAGGAAGACCUGUGUCAUAUGAGAGGCAUUAAAUGCACAGUGUGGCCCUCCUGACCGCCCCACGCCAGAGACAUGAUCGGGUGAGGGGAGCUGACCUUUAACUAGGGGGUCCGAGGAUGAGGCAACAACCUUCGGACCGCCCAGGACGACUUGCAAGAUGAGGCCACGCGCCCCGACGUCACCAUCGCCUUCGCCAUCCAGGAGACCCGUCAAGAUUAAGGCCAUGCCACCGCACCAGGCCCGGUACGGUCCCGCAGGCGAGGUAGGACCCAGCGACAAACGUUACGGUGAGGAACGGCCGUGAGCGCACUAAAGAGGUCAGGGAAAGCCAGGACAAGCGGCGCGCCCUGUCCAGGCACUAAUCACGGCCUGCCCAUUCAUCACCAGUAUGGACGACAGCAACAGCACCCUGUUCACUGCCACAGAGUUGGCAGACGGGACAGGAGCACACCACGGAGCCGGCCGAGCCGUGCAUAAGCAACCCACGCCGCACAGGAGCCACCGUACAAGGUGUGGACACGUCGCACAGGAGCCACCGUACAAGGCGUGCGAAGUCCACGACCAGCCAAAGGGACAGGACAAGGAGGCCUCUUGGUGCAAGGAAGAUCCAACCACGCCACAACCCACGACCUCUGAGGUCGGGGACCCCCUCCAUUUCUCAACGUUGUUGUCCGUUCCCUGCUCUAUAUAAGGGGAACCGGGCCUCAUUUCUCUCUCUCUCUCUCUCUCUCAUUCAACGCGUACACCCACACAUCGCACGAACGCUUGCUUGCAAGCACCUCGUUGUAAGCCCAGUGCACUUAUCCGAGGAACAUGACUCCUGCCGAAACUAGACGUAGGGAUUUUUUCCGAACCAGUAUAACUCCUUGUCUCUUGUGUGCUAGCUAUCAGAAGUGAGGAGAGCGCGGCGUACAAUCACUAGUCGGCAGUCCGAAACAUGGAAAUGGUUAGCGGAGGACACUGCUUGAUUAAAUGGCCAACAAUGUGCACGUCAAAAGACAUGGGAGGACUUGGGAUUCUCGACCUUGAGAGGCUUGCAAGAGCCCUGAGAAUGCAAUGGUGUUGGUUUCAGUGGAAACAUAGCGAGAGACCAUGGGUAGGGCUCGAUAUCCCUUGUGACAAGAACGACAGGGAUCUGUUCUAUGCUUCAACAGUAGUAAAGGUGGGCAACGGAAAGAAAGCAAACUUUUGGCAUUCUGCAUGGGUGAAUGGAAAGUCCCCAAGAAAUUUGAUACCCAGUUUGUUCCAAUGAUAUAAAAGGAAAAACUUCAUGGUACAAAGGGUAUUACAAGAUAACUACUGGAUUACUCAAAUAUACCCACUCAUGUUCGGAGAGGAAAUCAGAGAAUAUGUGUACCUAUGGGAAGAAAGAAACCUGCUGCAGAGGGACCCUACUACCAAGGACGAAAUAACGAAAUAACUUGGAGGUGGACGACGGACAGAGAAUAUACCAUGAAGAGUGCAUGCCGCAUCCAAUUCCAAGGUCAACUGAAGAAGCUUAGCAUCACCCUAAUCUAGAAAGCCCGAACGGAACCCAAAUACUGAAUCUUUACAUGGAUUCUUCUCCAUAGGAAAAUCUUAACGGCCGACAAUUUGGAAAAGCGGGGGGUGGCCCAACAACCUACAGCGCAAGCUAUGCAAUUCGGACCUAGAGACUCCCGCACACUUGUGCAAGGACUGCCCGUACACAACAGCAUUCUAGGACCAUCUACGAGGAUGGUUUUCCCUUCAUCACUUACCAUCAGGUAACGCAGCGUCCUCGAUCCACAAUUGGUGGAAGAAGUGCAGGAUCUUUAUCAACAAACGGAACAGAGCGCUCUUUAACGGCCUAAUCAUAUAUUUCUAUAUUUCUGGUAGAACAUUUGGAAAGAGCACAAUAGAAGAGUCUUUAACCACGAAGCUAAAUCAGUAGAUGACGUGGCGUUUCUUAUCAAAGAAGACUUUCAGCAGUUUCAAUUGGCAACACAGCCCUUAGCAGCCCACACUGACGUUCCAGCUUAGCAGUUUGGGAGUGGUGUUCUUCUCCGUGGGGGAGAGUGUUUAGUGUUUGCUGUUAUUUUCCUUUUUUGGAGUGUUUUUUGAAGCGAGUGCAGUGAGAGUGUGUUUAUAGUCGUGUUGUGUUUAUAGUUGUUUGUUUGUUUUUUAUUUUCUCCUUCUAAUAAAAUUUUUGGCAAAGCUUUUGCCGUCCGUUAAAAAAAAAGUCACGGGCGGGGAGGGGAGCGAGCGAGCGCCUGCGUUCAUCCGGGCGCGCGUCUCCCAGGGCCGGUGCCACCCCGGGCAGCGGCAACCCGGAGCAAAGCGAUCAUAGCUGAGUAGCUGACCUUGCUUUGUUUCCCUUUCCGUGGCCAUGGACAUGGAGAGGUUGACCGCGUAGGACUCGCUGACGAAUGUAAUGAUGUGCACGUGCUUUGUUCCGGCGGCAGCUAGCCGAUCCUUGUUUCUUCUUGUUGCUUGCCAGUUGGAUCUUGGAGUCGAUCUUGUUCCUUUAUAAUACACAAAAGCUAAGGAGCCAGUGAAAUUCCAGUAAAACCGAUGAGGCAGAGAUGAUCCUGACCACCAUGUCUCGUCUCUCGUGCUAUUAUAAAAUGCUGUGCGCCAUGAGUUUGGAGUAGUAUAUCAGCAUUCGACACAGCAGGGGGGCAAACGACCUUGCAUAUUGGACUACAGCAUCUUGGAAUAAAGCUAACUGAAAAAUCGUGAUACCUGACGAAUCGAGCAAGCCGGAAUAAUUUCCAGGGGUCCAGUUUUUGCAGCUGGAAUAAUUUCGCGGCAGCAGCGUGUCCUCCUGCAGCUGCAGCUGCAGCUCUAGAAAAGGAAGCCGGGCAGAACUUAGCUGCAAAUCGAUCGGUGGAGAGAAUACAAACAGGCAUCCGCGUCGAACCCAACAUCUUGCAAGAGGACACGGCAUAGAAAGCCACACGUCGAGUGGAGGUCGCACUCGGGUCCCCGUCACCAUAAUUCACGUCCCCAGCGGCCCAAGAGUCCAGAUCACCCUGAACCAAGUAAUUGCAACGCCUGUAGACUUGAUAGAUUUUUUUUUAACUUAGCUGUAGCUACAGCUAGCCUUGCUAAUUGGAUUGGUGUUAAUGGUUUUAGUGGAUUUAUUUAAGAAUGGAGCUGCAUCGGCCGGUAAUGGAUUGAAAAGUUAUUGAGCUGGUUUAAUUUGGGCUGCAAAUUAGAGAGGGAUGGUUAGUUAUUGGAGUAGCUUCAUUUUAUCGGAUUGUUAUCGGUGUCCAAACCAAGGGUCGUAGGCCAACUAGGCACUCGGGCUCUCGGGCAGGUCGUAGGCGCUCGCCACUGUGCCAGGCCGCAAGCGAAGGAGCUGACCCUCGCCUCCAUCCCUCCCUCCCUUCGGCGGUCCCGCCGCCGCUGCCACGACUCCCUUCCCUCGUGCCGCCGCCGCCGCAACAGCCACGCCUCCACCUCCGCCUCGCUCGCGCCGCCGCAUCAGGAAAGCUAGCAAAUUCAUCGGGCAGAGGAAGCCGGUGAACAAGCUCUCCAAGAAGCUGGCGAACGAGCUCUCCAAGAAGCCUGCGGCGAUUCAAGCUCUCCACGGCUGCCCGCAAUCUAGGUGUGCAUCAUCUCCUCCUCCGCGCCAUGUGAAGUGCGAAUCUACGAUUUGGAUGCUAUUUCCACGUCCUGGGGUGUUGGAUUGAUCGGUAGGUUUAGAUUAGAUCCAAUCUUUUGGGUUUAGGUGAGGUUUUGGGGUUGGAUCACUUUGGCAAUCCUGAACAGCAGACCUAUACCCUACGUCGCUUCAGAGUCUGUUGGAGGCUACAUGAUUCGGGGCUUGAUUGGGACAUUCUGAAUCCACUGGAAAGAAUUGUUGAUUGGCUGUUGUAAACAAACUGUGUUUGAUUUAUCAGAAAUUAGUGGUACAAAGAAAAUGUGCGAUUUCAUUUGCUCGGCACUUGAGAGAUUAGAUAAAACUCACCGUGGUGGAAGUGAAAAGGGAGAUCUUGACAUGCACAAGGUUUAUUUGCAGGAGGUUUAAUUCCUUUAGUGUGGAACAUUUUGCUUGCCUGUAAACUGAACCAGCAGCCCCAGGAGGUUUAAUUCCUUUAGUGUGGAACAUUUUGCUUGCCUGUAAACUGAACCAGCAGCCCUUGUCUGGGUUUUAUUUCUUAUUGCCUACAAAUUUCAAGAGCAAAGUAGCUGUGUCCUAUUCAUAUAUGUUGUGAUGCAGUAGUAUCCCUCAUGAAUAAAAUUUGCAAUUCCCAAAAUUAUGAUCCUCUUUCUCCGUGGAUGCUUCCCAGUCAAGGUCUUGCAUUUCUAAUGAUGGUUUUCUCUGAAAAAAACUGCAAUUUCUUAUAAGUUGUUAUUACCUAGAGAUUCUUCAACAUGUUUGCUAACACAUCAGAAACGGUUACCAACAAGAGAAAUAAUUCAUGUUACUAUCUUAGUUUCUGAAUUUGCCGUAUACGUUUUACAAGCCUAGCAACUGCCGUACACAUGUAGUGCACAACUGAAUCUAUCUUGCUUUGUUUGUUCCAGUGUUCCAGCUCCAGAUGCAUGGAGGGAUUGAUGAACCAAUUAUUGUGAGCAUAGUUCCUUCUGCCAGACGGAUUUGGUCUGCUCUGUCUUUGAUUUGGUCUGAAACAGGAGUCGUUGUUGAUAAAUUUUGACAGGAAUCAUGUAUAUUUCAUCGUUUCAGUUCCUUGGCCAGAACAUCAUAUUUUGUAAUAGUUCUGUACUUCUAAUUCUAACAUUGUUGGAUUUUUAAUCUUCUUAGAGGAAUCUCACCUCUGUCUUACCGCAUAGCAAGAAGACCGUUUGGGCAGUUGUGUGCUCCUGUUCACCUGGCUGCCUGUGUAAUCUUGGAUGAAGCUGCGGUGGAAACAAUUUCUUAAUGGGUAAAAUCGGUUGUAGCUGCAGUUUGGACAGUGGUUUGUUAUAUUAUUUGCUGCGGGAGGAGGAUUGGAUUGGUGGGGUUUGAUUCAUGGAGGAGCAAGAUUGGAGUAGGGUGGGUUGCAUUUUCUUUGUACAGUAGAAUAGAUUAGAAUAGAUAGGUGUGGUUUUGGCUUGGGUACGAGACGUAGACUUGAUAGAUCUUUUUUUUUAAUAUUCCUAGACACAGGCGCAUAGCUCCCUACUCCUACCCCACCACGGCGGUCGGCGGCCACGAGAGCACGCGGCUGCGUUGGGAGGCGCUGAAUCCGUGGCCGGCGUGGCACUGGCACUGGCAACGAUAAGGUGGUAUGGCCCAUCCAGGGCGGGGGGACAAUCAUGUGGUUACCCGCCCUAGCUCCAUGAUUGAUCGGACUAGUGAUGGUCGUGGAGGCAGGCAGGCACUCGCUCGCUCUCGUCACGGUAUCCCGUAUCCCCCGUGGAUCCCAAGCUAGCGACGCGCCCUGGCUGACUGGCGCGGGUAAGAUCUGGCGGAGGCCGUGUUACUCGUGCCUACAUCUGGCCGGGACCGGUCGUCAUUCUACUGCGCGGUGUUGAUUGGACUACGCGGGGCCCACGCGUUUCUUCUACCAGCGAAGACUUGACGAAGGCUUUUGGGGUGGAGACGUGGAGCUGCUGGCUGCUGCCGAGCGGCGUCGUGCCGUGGCACGGCAGGAGAGCUGGGGAGGGGAGGAGAUCCCGCGUAUGCAGAGUGGAGAGCGGCAGAACGAAGCGCGUCUCUUUCGACGGCCGCAUGAUUGGUGUACGGGACCGUACGGCGCUCCUUCCCGGAAGUUGCUGGCGAGGACGGCACGAUUCGGUUAUCGUUUACUACUUAUCUGAAUGAUGCACGAGUCAAGUCAACCCACCACCAAAAUGUAAUCCACGGCUCUAGAUGAGCUCCGCUGCCCGUUCUCGGGCUCAUGCAGAAGCAGAACCUUCCGUUCCGUCCGCUCCCGUUUUGCCAUUGCAACCUGGCCGUCCGGUCCGGUCCGGCUGGCCCCAGCAGCGCCUGGCCCAGCGCACCGUGCUGGCGGCGCCUAGAGAUAAGCGCGAAACGGACCAGCUCGACCUGACCAGCUGAAACGACGAGGGCCCACCCCUCAGACGGACACCGCAGCUCCGCGCGCCGCCUGCGUACAUCUCACCCCAAACGGAACGGACCGGGCCCACCAGCGCAGCGCAGCGCCGCGGCAUAUAAACCGGACGCGCGCGGAGGCGGACGGGAAGAGCAAAUCCACCGCUCUCGUCGACCCAGCGCCAGCGCCAACGCCAACCGACCCAGCGAACCGCGGCGCCUCGUCGCGCCCUGCCUGUCCGAGCCUCCGAUCGAUCGCUUGUUCCGCCGGGCCGAAGGGAUGGCGGAGUCCGCGGCGCCCAAGGCGACGGCGGCGGCGGCGGGGAGGAAGACGCGGGUGGGGCCGUACGAGCUCGGGAAGACGAUCGGGGAAGGAAGCUUCGCCAAGGUCAAGCUCGCCCGCGACUCACGCACCGGCGCCGUCUGCGCCAUCAAGGUGCUCGACCGCAACCACGUCCUCCGACACAAGAUGGUCGAGCAGGUCCGCCGCCUCCCGUCCCUCCUUUGCUCCUUGGAAUCAUAUCCUUCAUUCGCCAGCAAUCCGUUGGAAUCGUACCUGAACGAAUUAAAAAAAAUACCUGACCUGGCAUAUUUAGGAAGAUCUUUCCGCUAUUUAUUCGUAGAAAAUGGGGGAUAAUCAGACAGAAUAUCCAUUGACGUCUCUGUCGUUGUCUAGAUUCUGUUCCUCUUGGAUUGUUUGUGAUGGGGAAAAAUCGUGUGUUCGGUGGGUGUCCCCCGUCCUUGCUUAAGCUUUCGAGAUGCUGCGCGAAUCGGAUCGGAAGGGGAAUCAAAUUCAGAUUGGAAAUUAUGACCUUAUGAUCACCAAAUCAGAUAGGAAACCAUUCUGACACAAGGAACAAUGAUCCACGCCUAGAUGAUGUUUAUGAAAUGCGUAUGACUAUGGUUGUCAGGAGUUUCUCUCAAUACAUUUUUUUAUCGAAAGGAAAAACAAAACUCUGCUGUCGCGUUGUGAUGAAAUACGAAUGUAUACUAGCAUCAGAUGUCUGCUGUCCAGUUGUUUGAACCGCUCUGCCUUCUGCAUAACUUGAGUUUGUAACGUGAACGCUCACCACUUCUUCCACUUUCAGAUCAAACGGGAGAUUUCCACUAUGAAGCUAAUCAAACAUCCCAAUGUGGUCCAGUUGCAUGAGGUAUCUUCAAAUAUUUGCCGAGACACGAUAGUAUAAAUUCCAUUACCUUUUGAUAUUCCAUCUCACUCAAUAUGUGUGUUUUUGAUAGGUUCUGGCCAGCAAAACAAAGAUAUACAUGGUUCUUGAAUUUGUUGACGGAGGCGAGCUAUUUGAUAAGAUUGUAAGGCCCUCAAACUUUCAGCGCCUGAUAUUGUUACUCUUUAUUGCUUUUAACCUGAGCUUACCCGUGCCAAGAAAAAAACAUGUGAGCUAAGUUUCGAGACCCUGGCACAUAUGUUUGUUUAGGUCAAUUCUGGGAGGUUAAGUGAAGAUGAAGCAAGGAGAUACUUUCAUCAACUUAUAAAUGCGGUUGAUUAUUGCCAUAGUCGAGGAGUUUACCAUAGAGACCUGAAGGUUUGUUGAAUUAUUCUGCUAUCUUUCUGAUGCGUUAUUCCUCAAUUAUAUAUGCUAUGCGGUUCACUGUCUAAUUCAUGGAUGUCUCGUGUUCUUUUUGCAGCCAGAGAAUUUGCUUCUUGAUUCACAUGGAUCUCUUAAAGUUUCAGACUUCGGACUGAGUGCCUUUGCGCCACAAACAAAAGUAUGAUCUCUAUCUAGUAUCUAGAAAAAUGCAUUUUGCAUGUUCAAUAGUUAAGCCCUUUUGUUUCUCUAUGACAGCGAUGCAUUUUAGGUCUUACAGCAUUCGUCCGGGUCAAUCGACUUAACUUGCUACCUUCUAUAAAAAUAUUCCAGAAUAAAUGAGUAAACAAAAAAAGAAUUGCCAUUAACUCUUCUGUUGUUUUGUUAGGAGGAUGGGCUUCUGCAUACUACUUGUGGAACACCAAACUAUGUUGCACCUGAGGUGAAUUCCUCACCUUCCAUUAGUUACCCACUUAUUUUGUUGCGACCUUGUGUGAUUAAUGUGCUUCAAGAUGUGUAAGCAUCGGACUUUUACUGCAGGUGCUUGCUGAUAAAGGUUAUAAUGGUAUGGCUGCUGAUGUAUGGUCCUGUGGCAUAAUCCUAUUUGUUCUUAUGGCCGGAUAUUUACCAUUCGAUGAUUCCAAUCUGAUGAGGCUGUACAAACUGGUCAGUUUGAGUGAUAGAUUUAGAGUAUUGGUUUACUUUGUGAAAUUAAGUUGUAACUUUGGGAUGAUUUUCUAAUUAUAACUUCCUUUGCAGAUCUGCCAGGCAAACAUUUCUUGUCCGACAUGGUUUUCUUCCGGUGCAAAGAAAUUCAUUAAGCGCAUUAUUGAUCCUAAUCCUGAUACGGUAAGUGUGAAUUAAGAAUGUGCAUUUCAAUAUAUGCUGCCUUUAUUCAAAAUUAUCCAUUGUGCUGUAACCGGUAGACCACUGCUAGUCAUGUGAAUUCUUGUCUUCUUAUAAGUCUUACUAUCAUCACUGUUUGAGAAAAUGGGUGUUUUAUUCUGCAGAGGAUAACAAUUGCAGAAAUUUUGGAAGAUGAAUGGUUCAAAAAGGACUACAAGCCACCACGUUUUGAACAAGGUGAAGAUGUUAGCCUUGACGAUGUUGAUGCUGUAUUCAACGAUUCAGAGGUAUAAUACAAGCUAACGGUUCAUUCUUAACUUGCAAUGGACUAGAAAAUCUUCCCAGAAAUAUUAUGUGCUAUAAAAACAAUCCAAUGUUCUAUUUCACAUCCACAUUAUUGACAGCAGUUUCUGUAAGCUGAAUCUUUCUAUCUUCGUUUUAUUUUGUAAGACCAGAUUGAGAAUAUCUAUUGCAGGAUGGAACUAUUCUCAUUCUUUUUUUACUGACUCACUCAAAUGUCUCGAGAUUUUCGUAAUGUAUACUGACUGUCCCAUAAAAUAUCAGAUUGGUCAACAUCUCAGCAAACGGUUAUAUAGUUGUUACAUAUAGGCACCGCUUAAUGGGCUACCUUUUCCUUUUGACGUCUUAGGAACAUCUUGUGGCGGAGAAAAGGGAGAAACCAGAAUCCAUGAAUGCAUUUGCUCUUAUUUCAAGAUCACAGGGCUUCAACCUUGGAAAUCUUUUUGAGAAGGAGAUGAUGGUGAGUCCAUAGAGAUUUCAAUUUACUACUUUCUCAGUUUGGAAUGUGUUAAAGAUUAGUUUCAAGAGGGGGGGGGGGUGCAUUCCUUUCAGAAGCAGAUGGUAGGUGGUUGGUCGUCUAUUAUUUCACCAAUUUCAGAAUAUGUUGCAGUCUUGACGAUUAGCAUGUUGAAGUGUUACCAUUUGGGGUUACACUUCCUAGUCAGAAAGCAAUUGUACUUUCAGCACACCUUUUUCUUGAUUCCUUACUAAUGCAAGUCUUUUUUUUUUAAAAAAAGGGAAUGGCAAAGCGGGAAACAUCCUUUACAUCUCAGUGUACAGCACAAGAGAUCAUGUCUAAAAUAGAGGAGGCUUGUGGACCACUUGGUUUCAAUGUGCGCAAACAAAAUUAUAAGGUAUGUGACAUUUUUUUUUAACAAAUGGCUAGUAAUGUAAGGACUAAUGUUUUUUUUCAACUUGCAUUAUUUAUGGCAUUAAUGUUUUACAUGUCUUUCUUUUUGGACUUCCAGAUGAAAUUGAAAGGUGAUAAGACUGGAAGAAAAGGCCAUUUAUCUGUAGCAACAGAGGUACUGGUUUUAUUAGCUCUAUGUUCAGUAUUGCAACUUCAGAGUGUAGCUUAUUGAAAUUGCAUAAUUCUGAAUCAACCUCUGCGCUUUGUACUGCAAGUUCUAGUGCAAUACUUAGCAUAACAAUAAAUAAUUCUGUUAUCUGAGUCUUUCCCUUGCAUUCGUGUCCAUGAUUUAUUCGUUUGCAGGUUUUUGAGGUUGCUCCAUCACUUCACAUGGUUGAGCUUCGUAAAACCGGAGGAGACACAUUGGAGUUUCACAAUGUACGUUCUCAAAUUAUUCUGCUUGCUGUAAGAAUUAUUCAGUGAUUGUUUUCCUUAUCACUUUCAAAUAAUUAACAUGGUUUCAUCAAUACGCAGUUCUACAAGAAUUUCUCAACAGAAUUGAAGGAUAUAGUGUGGAAAGCUGAAUCUGACACAAGUAAGAAACAGACAAAGUAAUUCCAAUGGGACCUGUGUAUCUUCUAAGGCCAUAUUGGUAAAAUAUAGCGCCUUUUUAAUGAGUGCGAUUGUACACAUACAUGUAUGCAGAGGCCCUCCCUGGGAUGCUCCUAUAUUGUAACGGUAAUAUGGGAUGUAACAUAGGUUAUCCUGAACUUAUUUUUUUGUUUGUCACCAGGGCUUAGUGUGCCUUUAUUCAAGGUAAUAGCUAAUGAUGAACAAUGAUGUGGGAAUGCUAACCGUGCAAUUGCAGACACAUGCGGAUCAGUUAUGAACCUGAAAUCCGUUAUUUUUGAGGGCUCUACGCCUGAACCUGGGGGAUGCAUCCUGCACCGCAGACUCAGGCGCAAUACGUUUGUUCCUCCUAUGAGUAGUUGCCUCCGUUAUGACUAAGUGCGCGCGCUGCUGGAUACGGUAUCAGGGCAGUGUAAACGUGUAAUCCACCGUUAUUCAAGUUGGUGGACCAUGGUGGACCUGCACAGGAGUUACAGAACUCGACCGUUAUUCCUGAACUCGAUGGAGGUAGUGGUCGGAACUUGGAAGUGACCAACUGACCACUGAGGGCCUGGACUUCGGGAUUUACAAGUAAAAUUACUGCUUAUGUCGGUGUUCAUCGGUGGUUUUGGUUGGAAUUCGAUAGGCUUCAAAAGCUACAAGCUCUCCCAAUCCAGGCCUAAGGGUUGGUUCCUUAAAUUUAGGCUUAUUUUACUAUCCUUAGUUAGAGGUACCACUAAAUUUAACUAGCCCGUAAAAAUGACUCUUGAAAAUAUCAUGUUUUUGGUGCAAUUAGCAGCGCAGUGCUAUGUAGAAAUGCCAAAUUUGGCUAGGUCAUUAAGUUUAGGACCACGAUGUUAAGGUGUAGUACUUCUGCUAAUGGAAUAGAGGGAGCUACUGGUGUUUCUCACCUUCAUUUCUAAUUUCGAUAAAUAAGGCUAUGUUUAGCAUUGCUUUGGUUUUUGAAAAGCACUUAUCCUUUUCUGUUUCAGGAAUCAGGAUAAGUAGCUACUUAAACAGCUUUGCAGGAGCAAUAAGAACAAAAUUUCACCAAAAUUAGAAAAAAAAUCUUUAGGGGGUGUUUGGAUCCUUGGGCUAAAGUUUAGCUCGGGUCACAUCGGAUGCUUGGAUGCUAAUUAGGAGUAUUAAACAUAGUCUAAUGAUAAAAAUAAUUGCAUAAAUGAGGGCUAAUUCGCGAGAUGAAUCCAUUAAGCCUAAUUAGUCCAUAAUCAGCACAUGUGGUGCUACAGUAAACAUGAGCUAAUUAUGGAUUAAUUAGGCUUAAUAGAUUUGUCUUGCGGAUUAGCCCUAAUUUAUGCAAUUAUUUUUAUCAUUAGUCUAUAUUUAAUACUCCUAAUUAGCAUCCAAACAUCCGAUGUGACCUGAACUUAACUUUAGCUAAGGAUCCAAACACUCACUUAGUAGAUUCCACGGCGCAUCGACCAUAUAUGUCCAUAUCGUGACUCUCUGAGAUACCAAAUGCGAAGUAACGUUUUAAGGAAGUCCAUACAUGUACGUCCACAACUCUGUUCUAUCUUUAUACCUUUGUUUAUUAGCACGCAGAAAUGUUCCCUAGCUCAAAACCCCGAAUGAAUAGAAUCUUUCUGUACCUACUAAAAUCUCUGAAGAAGCUCUUGCAUUGCAAAGACACUUCGUCCCUUUUAAUUUUUCAAAAUAAUGCUAUGUACUCCUCCAUCUCAAAAGGAAUGAUUUUCUAUGAUUUUUUAGACAAAUUAGACGUGAAUGAAAAUGACGCAUGCAGUCUUAGUUAGUUCAGUUUGCAUAUAAAAAAGAAGAAAAUAUGUUUCAAUUUAAUCAUGCAUGUACGAGAUCAACGUGCUAAAUUAUGCAUACUUAAGAUUUAUAAAUUAUGCGUGCUUAAGAUUUAAAUUUUAGAACAUCAAUUUUUUAACAAAUUUUGAAUGUUAAAAUAUUAUUCUUUUUGGACGGAGGAGGAUGUCGCAUCGAAUCUGACAAUGCAUGGAUGGGAACAUCUGCGUGGCAGAUGGCUGCAGUGCAAUGAUAGCAAUCUGAGAGGCGGGAGCUGGUAGAGUGGUAGGCGCGCAGUACCAGAUUAAUAGCAGGAAUAGCGGCUUCUUUCGUAGCUAUUCGUCAGUGGUCACUCGCCAGUACACUCACCCGAGCCCUGACACUGAUUUCCGGCGAAGAAAAAGGGAGCUUUUGAUUGGCCAUCCACCUUCUUCUACAGUUUCUUGACAGAAUGACAGCCGUUGCUUGCAUGACAGCACCUUGACACCAUGACACCCCUGUAAGCCCCCAUCUGUACCUCUGUAAGACAGUAACCUGGCUCAAGUGACCGGUGUCUUCGCUCUUUCAGUUUCAGACGGCGCCCGGUGUUCAUCUAGAGGGAUGCUGAUAUUGGAGGGGACGCACGGCUGCGUGCAAGUCUCAGCUAUCUGCGUGACAGCGAGGGUGGGUGGGGAAAACCGCAGCAGGUAGCGGGUGUUUUCUUUAACCCCCAUUAGCAAAUCAAAUCCAUUAUUCCACCGGUCGCCGUCGCCACCGACCACCACCGCACGUCCGCACGCGCCGAAGGGGUCAGUUUCUCCGGUUCUCCUCUCUGUUUUCUGACGCCAGGUGAUGACCCGGACGGGAAAACGAAACCGGACACGAGCUCUUCUUUCUCCCCGACCCGUGCCCUCACAGAAUCGGCCAUGUUUUCGUCGCCGCCGCAGCGACGGCUCAUUGAUGACUGAUAAGGGCAAAACAGAGGAGAAAGACAGAGAUCAAUUAAGCAGGUCGCGUUCCGUUCCGAUACAAGCUGCCGAGUCCCUUUUGGCUCUCCAAGGGUCUGUCGGUGCCUGGAGACCCGGCUGCUGUCAGGGGCGGCGCUUAGACGUCGGGGUCAUCCGAGUCAUCGGCACCGAAAGAUUUGACGAGAACAGCGGAGGGGCAAGAGAGGCCGCGAGCUGCCGACGCCGAUGCAAACGCGACGUCACGGCCGGGGCUCUGCUCUGACUGAUAAACAACUCGUGUCAGGUUGGAGAUCAAUACGGCAUCCACCUUUUCCGAGCCCUGGUGACGGUGCCGUAUUUUGUUGCUGCCUCGUAAACAAACCAACCAAAUGUAGGCUGCAUUGCAAGUUGCAGCUGGCUUGAGAUCACAGAAAACAGACCAUAGCUACUUUUGGGCAACCCUUUUCCUUUUUAUUUGUGGUUUGGCAUGCUAUAGCUAGGUUCUGAAACCAGUCUGUCUGCAAUGAAGUGCUGGCCGACUAGUGAUCCACGAUUCAUUAUGCUUGGCUUCAGUGGCAAAAGUUUGGUGACGGUGCACGACAAAUGGCCAGGCGAUUCCGCAGUUUUAUUUUUCUACUACUAGAUUUCUUACAAGUUUUCUGUGGCUGCGCUGGCUUAUCCGUUUCUUUCUCUCGAGAAAAAGCAGAGAGCCUUUUAUUUGCAGCCAUGGAUGCUGCCGUUCCGAGCUGAUUCUUGCAUCGUCGUCGUCGUCUUCGUCGACGCCGCAAUGGUGGUGGAUUCCUUAGAGAAAGUGUUUUAGGUGGCCUGACGCUGCGCUUAGCGCAGCCACGAGAGAGACGUGUCCAACUCGAACGUGUGGUUGUGCCUCACGGCGCCAAGAAUUCAGACGCAUCGUCGUGGUGGGCAUGCUUCUUGCUGCUCCGACGUCAUGAUCGCUUCUGAAUUUUGUCCUGGGUUUAAUGUGGGGAUCACCAAAACCUCAAGCCCCGUCCACCCGUCCACGGUAUAAGAAACCUUUUGACCUCGUAAGUUCUACAUCAAGUAUAAAGAGGUGCGGAGCUAUUCUAGCCUCACGAGUCCCAAACUGAGAAGUAAAACUCAGCUACCCUCGAACGUCGUUAGCAGGUCUCAAGACUAACCUUGCAAGUUGCGCGUCAGCAACAACAAAAAUAGAACCCCGUUAACCUCGCACGCUCUAUGGAGGCACCUCUAAUGGUAAAAUCUCGUAUCCUUGCAUCACCUCUACUCCUAGAAAGACUCGAGGGCAGUGAUUGACAACAAUAAUGCCUAACUCCCACUGGGUUAACCCUCGAGUAUUCAGAGUCGGUUUCGGACACUGAGCUUUUAUCUUUUUACUCUUUACUCAGAAAUGAGCUCGCAUAAGAACUAUGCAAGGUUAAGACCUCUCGGUAAGACUCAACGAAGCAGGCGCCUUGAGGCUGGGCGUUCGUCUCGGAUCGCGGAUGAAGCCUCGAGGCUGGAUGAUCGGCUUAAAAUGAAGAUGAAGUCUUGAGGUUGGAGGGCGGGAGGUGUGAAAAACAUGAUCACAUGGAAAAGUUCAAUUUGUACACGUGUUCCUUAAUUACCUUUAUGUACGGCAUAUCCUAGGAAUGUAGUGGUCAUGAAUCACUAUAAAAGGGGAGCCCUACCCCGUUGUAAGGGGAGAUCAAUUUUUACAAUUGUGAAUAUUGUUCCCAAUGUAACUUUAAAUCUGUUUGGUGUCAAAUUUCUUUGAGACCAACAGGGCGUCACCAUGUUCUCAGCUACAAAACAACCCACGAUUCCAUAAACGAAGAAUAAGAAAACUGCACCACAGGAAGCAGCCGAGGGCGAAAGAGAGAACCCUGCGGCUCAAGAGAAAAAACGUUAUCCCUGUUGAUCAAGAUGGCACAGAUACCAUGGAGAAGUUAAAGAGAGUUGAGACUAACUUACGAACAAGAAGCGAGAAAAAAAAGAGUCGAGGCAGAAGUAACAAACCAAGCACAGCCGGAAACAAGCACAGGAAACGAUUUACUCGGAGCAGCAGAAAAGGAAUUGGCCUUAGUGCUAAGACAACUUGGACUCUAAAACAAGAAAAAGAAAUAUUUGCUCAAAAGCUGGAAGAACAACGUCUAGCGGCCCGAAAAAUAGCAAAACUAAAUCAAACAAAACAACAAUGGGCAGAAUUGCGAAAAAUAGCAAAACUAAAUCAAGCAAAAUAACAAUUGGCAGAAUUGCAAGAUGAAUUGGAUGAACUGCAAUACUUACCAAACACACCACCACAACCACCACCCCACCACCCUUGAGACAGCAGUAUGUCGCGAAUGACGCAAACAUCCGCAAGCAAAUCCUAACCUCACUACGCACAACGUGCCAGUGAUGAUAGGCGCUUAUGUAGCAAUCAACUAAAGCUCUCCAUUAUCCAUAGACCUGCAAACAGCUCUAUGGCCUCCAACCUACAAGACAGUUUCACUGCCAAAGUUUAAUGAGCAAAAUGACCCUCGUCAAUUUCUCAUGAGCUCCGAAGCUACAGUAGCAUCAGCUGGAGGAGAUGAUGUUGUCUUAGCCAAGUCCCUAAUCAUAGCCUACGAGGGUGCAACACUGAACUGGUACUCACUACUCCCACCGCAGUCAGUAUACAGUUGGAUAGAUUUCAAAACAAAGCUAAUAUAAAACUUCCAAAGCUUCCAUCGUGCAACAAUAGACUCGGGUGACUUGUUUCACUGCAUCCAAAGAGAUAAAGAACCCCUAGCCAAUUAUGUUAAAAGAUUCGUAUAAUUGAAGUCACAAACUCCAGGUGUGGAUGAAAGCGUAGCCAUAGUAGCACACUAGGCUCGACAACUUCGCACCUAACAAGAGAAAAACCUAAAACCAUGGAAGCCUUGUUCGCCGAGUUGGAAAAAUACUGCAGGUCAGAUGAGGAUCAUAGAAAAAGUGUAAUGGAGAGAAACCACCAAAGGCAAGUUCAAAAAGAUCAAAAUUGGCAAAUCCCGAAAUACAAUUUCGUACAACAUCAACAGCCAUAUCCAGCUCAACAUGUGCUACCGAUCAAGGGUGCUCAACCCUCCAGCAACAAAGUCAAAAUCACAAUAGACAAACCAGCAAAAUAACAAAUAAGUUAUGGCAAUGGACGAAGAGGCAGUCACUCUGGCAGGGGAGGCCUGACUUACCAACCUACCACGUUCUUAGUCUCGUGCCAGGAUUAAGCAGAAUUCGUUCAAAUGUCACUAGACGGUCUUCAGCUAAUCCCACGGGAAAACCGCGCACUGAACGCUGAUCUUCCGUGCUAUAGGUGGAGGCCUGAUCUAGUCCUUUCAGAAAUUCAGAGUAACCGACAAUUCAGCUCCUGUCCCCCUGUGAAUUCAAACAGCACGUGCCGCUAAACACAAAGAAACCUCAUGCCUGUUUUGAUCGUACAAACUAAACAUGCAUCAUACGGCUGCAAAGAACAAAGUGUAGUGCGUCCAGCUUUGCCACAUGGGCAUGAUAAUCGUACAGGCUAGAAAAUCGUACGGCUCGGAGAUCUCCUCCAACAGCCCCAAAAUUUCCAUGUCUGGUCACGGAUUUCUCUCUCGAAACGAAUAUAAGACGGCCCAAAAUCAUGAAAUGCUUCCAAGAACAUCCUGUACAAGACACAUGCAUCUAGCUAGCUACGAGAGCCUGGCAAAACAAGAUGCCAAGAUCUCUUUUAUACCAUUAUUUGUGGCGCCAAGCCAAUGAUCCUGACUCUUGGCUAUAGAAAGCAGAGUUUGAACAGCCCCCACAUGCUGCUGCGUUCAUCAGUGAGUGGCAUGACCGCACACCUAUCAAGCACCGCACGCAUAUUCCUCUCUCCAAGACUGUCCUUUAACCCAUCACACUCUCCUUUCUUUCUUUGUUCUUUCUCCUGCCUCUCGUUGAUCCCGUCGCUUUGAAAGAAAAAGAAAAAGAUGGUGCGGAUGCACGUCACAAGCAGAACGUAGCAUCACCACAAAAUUCGGUUACAAAUUUAAAAACUCAGCUACAGAUUUACAUUGGUCGCAGUACGAUUUAACUGCUAGUUUCGGCUGGCAAAACUAGGUUUUUGAUUUGUUUGUCUUCUCAUCAUCUCAUAAUAUAAUACGAUGACGACGACGGAUGUACACAUGGGUGAUGGAUGGGAUGGGACACGUACGUACGUUGGUUCGCCUACC
rnacentral:lncRNA from 1 species